rnacentral:lncRNA from 1 species
GAAAGUGAAAGCCUGGAAUUGGCAACAGGAUUGUUAUCUUUUUAAUAACGUGUUAUUGUUCAAAAGUGGAGCCAUAUAAAUUUUUUAAUGGGUGAGCUAACUAAAGUUUACUUGUCAAAUAAUGAAAUUCCUUUUAAAACUAUUUUUUUUCAAAGACUCAUGCUAGAAUUCUACUCUUUAAUCUGGGAAAAAACAAUCCAACAAAGAAAAAUCUGGGAAAAAUAAUAUAGGUCUGUAACAAACGUUUCCAUUUUUAAUUGCUAUAUUGAUUUAUAAAUAAGAAAAGGGUCAUUAAGUCUCCUUAUUAUCUGCUAUUUUUCCAUAAAUCUCACAAGAAUUGGACUUGACAAGUUAAUAUCUGAGUUAUCUAUGGUUCUGGUCCCUUCCUCAGAACCCUAUUGGUUGUAUGCUUUAGAUUCUGUGCGGCUUCUGUCCAUGAAUCCAAAGAAGAUGUCUCGGGUCUGUGUGGAUUGGAGUGACUAUGUCUUUGACUCUGUUGCUUAUGGUGACAAGUUCCAUUUUGAGGAAUUAUGAAGCUAUGUUCCUCUCCUGCGUUUUAGCUUGAAAUUCGUUUGGAUAUGGCUUAUAGGGGAGUUGGUUUUAGGAAAGCACUAAUUUUGGGGGAGUAGAUCUCCUUUUAGGACUAUGUGUUGUAUAAUUUGUGCUUUACUUGGGAUUAUUUUUUAUGACAUGUGCUUAUUUGUCGUUCGUCUCAUUGUUACUACCCAUUGUUUGGGAGUACUUAUAUGAUCUGUUACUGAUGUUUAUCCAUUGUGCUUUAGCUGCUCAUGCAUUGUCUUAAUUGCUUAUCAUAUAUAUAUGCUUGAUGUUCUUGCGUGCGUUAUUUUGCCUUGAGACUUUGUCUUACCAUGACAAAAUGGGGGAGAAAGUUUGAAAGUUUGUGUUACAUUAAUUGCCAAUACUAUACCCAUGAUAAAUUUUACUUGUUCUUGUCAAGAGUUGCUUUUGUGCAGGAUUUGUUCCUUGGUUCUUCUCUCGAGUGUUGAGUGAGUCAAAUUAGUUUUAGGCUCCGGGUAAUUUGUCAAGGAAAGCCAAGGAAAGAGAUUGUGAAGUCUAGACUUACGUGUUUGGCUUUCCUUGUCAAUCUUGUAAUUAUGUAUGACACAUGCUUUUUGGAUCAAUUUUCCUUAAAUGAGACUUUAGUAUACUUGGUUCUAAAGUCUGGGUUAUGGAACAUCAAAGUGCAAAUGGUGUUGCUUCAUCACAAGCAAGGUUUGUACAUGCAUAUGCAUUUCACAUUUAAAUUUCUUAUGCAUUCUGGCUAAUGGUGUUGUCUGGUCAGAAUUGCUCGUUGUUUUCCAACUAAAUGGGCACACAAUUUAAGACAGCCCAUAUGUGCUGACUGACAGCUUAUAUCCGAGGUUGAAUCUAUGGCCCUUGAUCUGUUCAAAUUACAUUUGCAUUUGAGAAGUGUCAUUGUGGGUUGUUGGUUGCGGAAAAUCGUUUUGGGGUUAUUAGGGUUGUGGAGGUUUCACUUUGUUUUUUAGAGAGAUAAUAUAAUUUUUAGAGGGUCAUUGUUUUCCCUCUCCAUCUCAAAUCUAUCUAGAAGCAACAAGCAUUUUUCUGGGUAAUGUUCUUCAUUGAAUAUUUAUAAUUCUGUCAUGAAAAUUCUUGCUUACAUCUUCUUAGAAACUCAUUUGUUUUGGGUUAGAAAGCUUAAAAUUUUCAAGAGUGCAUUAAAAAGCUUUGUGCUUUCUCUUGUUUCAAGAGUGCAUUAAAAAGCUUUGUGCUUUCUCUUGUGUUCGUCACUUAAAACCUAGUUGCAUAACCUUUUCUUAUGCAUCAAAUUUGUGUAAACACUACACAUGCUUUAUGAGUUAAGGCUUGCAUUUUCCAUGGUCUAGUUGUUCGUAAGUUUCAAAUCUUUAAACAGACCUAGGUCGGAUUCACGUUGGUUUCUUUCUUCAACUGUUUGACUAGAAAAACUGAAGGCUGAAGACUUCUCCAUCUUGUGCAAAUGCCUUUAUUCACUCAAGUACUAAUGAGUGGUUUCUUUUUUCUUGAGAAAACGAUAUUAUCUAUAUUAAGAUGAAGGGGGUGAGCUUAACCUCACAAUGAGCUAAAAUUAAUGUGGUUCAAAUUCGCAUUUGGCAAGAUUCGAACGUAAAACCUCUCACUUACAAGUGAAGAGGAAUACCACUAGACUGUAGUACUAAGUGGUAAUAAUAAUGAAUGUUUAAUUUCAUUAGAUUUGAACGCUAACCUACCCCUAGGCUUUGCAAGUACUUUACAGGUGGUGUUGUGGGCAGCAAACACCCUUUUGAACUGUACAAUUAACCCAAUCGAUUUUUACAGAGGAACAACUACUUUUUUAUGGCAUUUUCGUAGUUUUGAGGGGAUGAAAGCUUGCAAUGUGGCCCAUCAAGCCACCAUCACCGGGUCAACCUCUCUUCUUUCCACCACCAUUUGGUCCACCUCUCCACCACAACAUAAUUCCCAGUUCUCAUAUUUAAGUUUUCUAAUCGAAGCUCUUAUUUAUAGGAUGUUAAACAUUGAAAAUAAUGCGUAUUGGAUGAAAAUUUUGGAUUCGCAAUAGACAUAGUUAUUGAUAUUACUUAUAGAAAACUAUAUAGAGUUUUCCCUUCUUUGUUCAUGUGAUGGUUUAGCUCAUAUGCAUAAGUAAUGAACAGAAUAAAGCCAUAGCAAGCGAUACCAUUUAUGAUUUUUCAUAUGGAAAAAGUAUCCUAUUGAUAAGGAUACUAUCAUAAAACAUUUUAAAAUUAUGAAACCACAUCAUAGACAAAUUUAGUCUUUGUAGUUUGUAUUGUCGUUUCGUCUAAAUUUAUUGAAACUUUUGUAUUGGGGCCACCCGACAUUAUAAUCAUGGAUCUGCCACUGCAUCAUAAGCAUAUUUAAAAAUAUAAAAAAAUAAAAAAAUAAAAAAAGCAAUCUCAAACUGGCCCUUAGAGAUUUAUAUAUACACAUAUUACUAUAUUAGUGUGUAUAAGUCCAAUCUCAGGGUAAUUCACCACUUGCAUAUACAAUUAUAUAUCUUAAAAUAUUACGUAGCUGUCACUUUUUCCAUUGAAAAAUAUAAUUUUGAGGAGAAGUUUUUGCUCAAACUUGGAAUUUUAUGAAAAGACCUUCAUUUCUCUAGAUCCAUCCCCACAAAAACAAUAGACAAAGACGCUAUUGAAAAAUUUACAAGUCAGUCAACAAAGAUUUUUUGAAAUACACGAUUGUAAUCUUGAUUCACCAACGCAACAAAGUGAAGUUAUUAUCUUUGAUUCACCAAGCCAUGAAAGGGAAAGCUUUGAAUUCGCCACCCAAUUGUUAUCAUUUUAAUUAACGUGGUAUUAUUAAUUGGUAAUAUUGAUUAUUUUUUGUGAGAUUAUUGAUUGAUACUCUUUUUUUUUUUGUCAAACGAUAGAUUUUGUUAGAUUAGCUAACGACGAAGUUUGAACCCACGUCAUCAUGUAAGAGCUCAAUAAGUCGCAACUUAUAGCCGCGCCGCCGCUAACACCACCGAGCCGAGCCUUGCUGCUGGUCUCUAGCCCAACAGUGUGGAGGACCUUGGGACAAUGUCGUUUGACUUCUGGACCACACGGCAGCAGCCAUUUGGGCUUUGCUGUACACGUAAAACACACCAGGCCCUCGGCCUGGUAGAGUUUCCUUGGGCCUCCAGCCCAGCCCAACUUCAAAAGAGGCCUGCAGCUCUCUUGGAUUUGUCUUACCAUGUCUCUGGCCCAAAAAAUCAGUAGCCCCAUGCUGCUAAGCCUUUGUCCUCAAGCCCAGCCCUGCUUACAACAAGCCAGAAGCCGGCUAGGCUUCACCCAAGCCUUCGGCCUAACUCACUAGCAGCUUAUGCUGCUAGGCUUGCCUUCCCCUCAGCCCAAAACCCAAAACCCAGCUUCGACUGGUCUUUCCCACACACCCAGGCCAGCCUCAUGCUGGGCCUAUCCCACCAUGCCCUGUUUGGCCCAAACUAGCAGCCCAUGUUGUUGGGCUCACCCCAAACCCACGGCCUUGAGGCCCAGUCCGUGGAUUGCAGCCAGCCCAAAUAAAGCUAGGUCAAAACCCUUUCUUGACCUUGUUUGUACCAUAUUUAGGUCCUCCGUAUUUAGACCUCGUAUAAAUACUCAGGGGACUCAAAUGUAAUUAUGUAAUAAAGGAAGGGGCAAAUAUGUAAUAAGUGAGGAGCCCUUAUUCUAUAAAAAUGACUCAUCACCUUCACAAUUGGGGGAGCCUCCUUACCCAUAGAGGCCUGACUCUCACUUCACAAACUCUCUCUCCCUCACCAUCAUCUUCAACAUCUCAGAGAAAUACAAUACUAGUGUAGACGUAGCCCAAACAUUGGGGUGAACCACGAUACAUCUUGUGUUAUUUACUUUCUUGCAGAUUCACGGUCGGAUUUUCGUUGUCCCAAGACCCCUCCGAUUUUGUGCAUCAACAUUUGGCGCCGUCUGUGGGAAUCGACACGAAAAGUUAUGUCGGUUCUCUUUCAUUUUUUUCACCUCCGCCGUGAAUCUGCAGAAAACCUCACUCUUUAGGCUUUUCCAGAAAACCUUUGCAGACUCUAUGCAGUUUUAAGAAACCAUCCAAAAACCCAUUUUCCAUCUCUCUCUCUUUUAUCUUUCUAGGCAACCAUGCCUCUCACAGAGAGCUCAACUGCAGGAGCAGAGCACAUGAAAUGAAGAAGACACAGACCCCACUAGCAAGCCUUUUUAGUGUGGUCAAGAUGCGCUGAGCUGUAGUGGAGUCCAACCCUGAGGUGGGCUCAUUCAGCAAAAUGGGCCCCAUUCGUGAAAAACGUUGCAAACUUGCAAUCUUUCAAACUUUUUCGCAUCUGGGUACUCCCCAAACUGGCUUUUUGAGCUAUUCUUUGAUCGGACCCAACACCUUCAAAGAUUCUGAGUAGAGCACCGGCCAUGUCGACAUCUCGGUCUUCAACCCCACCAAGCUCAACGCACAGAUCCGGGUCACCGACCCGACAUGGUCCUGCACCUCCGACUUGUUCACCUUGCGGGCCUCCACUCGCCUCCCCAUUUCCGCCCAGGAAGUCGUUGAGUCUUCUACUCCAGAUGGCUUCUACACUACCCGUGAGGCCACCCCCAUAUAAACAUCUCUCUCUAAGCUGUCUUCCAAUUAAACCACAAGCAUAGCAAAAUUCAUUCAGAUCCAUCAAUAUCAUUUUCUAUCUUUACGAAGCAGUGAUGUCAGUGUCUGAAGAAGCAGCGAUCUCUGUUUGGCUGCUGAAAACUAAGGAAAAUAAACUGCUCGAAUGAGGGAUUUGCCACUUCGGCUCGCCCUGCAACCAUCGCUCUCUAAAAAACCAGAACAUAAAAAACUUCAUCUGCAACAAUGGCGACGAAGAAUGCGAUGGAAGUCGUUAAGAACCUGGAUUUGCAGCGCUACAUGGGGCGGUGGUACGUCGACCUGGUUGUCGAUGUCUCGAAGCUCCAAUAGUUAUUCCCGUCCCGUCUGCUCCUUCCUUCUCCAUCUGAGGAGGUCAAUGAGGUUGCCAUCGAAGUAGAGCGAGAAAAUGAUGAAGGUGGCAUGGCAGGCGAAACAUUUACAAACUAUCGACCCUCCAAAACUAUCCAUUGGCCCUCCUCAUCCAGAUCCUGUUGUGGAAACAUCAUCCUUGGCUGCUGUGCAGCCACCUGAGCCCACUUACGAUAUGAAAAUCAAGGAUGAUUUGGAAAAUUUAAAGGCUUUGUCAUGUUUACAGAUUGAGAUAUUGGUCUACGCUUGUCAAAGACACCUGCAGCAUCUUCCAAAUGGUGAAAGGGCAAGAUUCUUCGUUGGGGAUGGAACUAGUGUGGGGAAAGGUCGAACAAUAGCAAGGUUAAUAUGGGAGAAUUGGCACCGUGGGAUGAGGAAAGCAGUCAUAUUGUACUCGGGUUUUCUCCUGCACCCAGAUCCCGUCAUGGCGCUCGAUCUCAGCUCCCUCACCUCUGUUAGGAGCUUCGUCUCCGAUUCCGGCAUUUGACUACAUCAGGGGUUAAGCAUCGAUCCAUGAGCUCACUGCUCUGUUACUUUAAACUGUCAUUCGGAGCUUUACCCAGCAACCAUGUGAUAAGUUCAAAAUACUCAACAAUAUUUUGGUAGAUCGGGAAAGCAAUAAUAAAAGCAAAUAGUCGUGGCUAUCAUGGCAAUGAUGGACUACUUUAUCGAGGACAUGGAAAAGGAGAAGCGUUUGUCCCAACCUACACCUCUGGGGAUAUGGUUGGAGGUGGUAUCAAUCAUGAUUCACAAGAAUUCUUUUCACUAAAAAUAGAGCCUUGGGGAUGGACUCGUGGACCAUGCAGCAGAAAAGAGAAAAAAAGAAAGCAAAAACAAGGAAUAAACACCCACACUGCAAAAGAAAGGAAUAAACACAUCACCAUAAUGAUGUGAUUUACUUUUCUAGUGUUUUUUAAUGAUGUGAUUUAUUUUUCUUAUCUUUCGAAGAUAUCUGUAUAAACCCCAUUAGAGGGUAAUAAAAAAAAGGAAAAAAAAAGGGCAAGCCCAAAGUAAUAGGCUAGAAUGUUAUGUGGAGGGCGAAGGCCCAUAUGCCUAAAAGAGCCAGGCCCUCUAUUACCACUAACCAGGUGAUCAAAAGUACGUCCAGUGCUACAAAAAUUAUUCGGCAGCCUGCCGCUAUUACCACCAACCAGGUGAUCAAAAGUACGUCCUACCACUAACCAGGUGAUCAAAAGUAAGCCCAGUACUCCAAAAUUAUUCGGCAGCCUGCCGCUAUUAUCACCAACCAGGUGAUCAAAAGUAUGUCCAGUACUCCAAAAUUAUACAUGAGCAUCAUUCAUGUCAAUCAUACAUAAGCAUUCAUGAGCAUCACUCAUGUCAAUCAUACAUAAACAUUCAUGACCAUCAUUCAUGUCAACAUUCAUGAGCAUCACUCAUGUUAACAUUCAUGAGCAUCACUCAUGUCAACAUCCAUGAGCAUCACUCAUGUCAAUCAACAUAAGCAUUCAUAAGCAUCACUCAUGUCAAUCUAGCUUCGAAAGCGUCAUUUAUAAAGCUCUAGCUUCAAAAGCUUCAUUUACAAAAGCUCUAGCUUCAAAAGCUUCAUUUACAGAGCUCUAGCUUCAAAAGCUUCAUUUACAAAAGCUUCAUUUAUAGAGCUCCAGCUUCAAAAGCUUCACUUGCAAAGCUUCACCUACAAAGCUUCAGUGCAGGGUAUACAAAUACCACUUCUGAACAACCGCCACUUCAGCCCAUACAUGGAUUCAAUUUGAAGUCUCCAGCCAACAGACUCUAUUGAUCGAAGACUUGGGGGACUACAUUAUGUACCAUAUAUUGGACCUCAACUAGGCCUCAUGAAAAAUACUUGGGAGACUUAGCCCAUUAUUUAUGUACUGAGGAGCGAGCCCUUAUUUUAUAAAAGGGACUCCCUCACUUUCAUUAAAGAGCACCCAUUCUUCAUAUACUGAGGAGCGAUCCUUUAUUUAAUAAAAGGGACUCCCUUACUUUUAUUAGAGAGCAUCGCUGCCAGCUGAGCAACCGUCUCGCCGCGAGCAUCACUCAUAACCCAUUGUUCAUGUACUGAGGAGUGAGCCCUUAUUUUAUAAAAAGGACUCCCUCACCUUCAUUAGAGAGCAUCACCGCCAGCUAAGCAACCGCCUCGUCGCGAGCAUCACUCUUAGCCCAUCACUUAUGUAUUGAGGAGGGAGCCCUUAUUUUAUAAAAGGGACUCCCUCACCUUCAUUAAAGAGCAUCACCGCCAGCUGAGCAACCGCCUCGCCACAAGCAUCACUCUUAGCCCAUCACUUAUUUAUUGAGGAGCGAGCCCUUAUUCUAUAAAAGGGACUCCCUCACCUUCAACGCCACAAGCCGAGUCAACCAAGGCAACAUAAGCCACAAACUGAGCAGCCUUGCAACAUGUGCUACUUCUAGUCAAUCAUCAGUUCAAGACAAACAUCUAGUUAUUUCGGCCCACACAUGGAUUGAAUUUCAAGUCUCCAGCCAAAAGACUCUCUUGACUGAAAACUUGGGGGACUACUGUUUAUACCAUAUUUAGGGUCUCUGUAUUUAGACCUCGUAUAAAUACUCGGGGGACUUAAAUGUAAUUAUGUAAUAAAGGAAUGGGCAAAUAUGUAAUAAGUGAGGAGCCCUUAUUAUAUAAAAGGGACUCUUCACCCUCACAAUUGGGGGAGCCUCCUCACCCUCAGAGGCCUAACUCUUACCUCACAAACUAUCUCUCCCUCACCAUCCUCUUCAACAUCUCAGAGAAAUACAAUACUAGUGUGGACGUAGCCAGUGGUGAAGCUACAGAGGGACUGGGAGGGUCCCCUUGCCGGAAAUUAAGCCCAUGAACGUGGUUCCGCCCCUCUAGUCUCGUCGGAAUGAAUGGCUGCACUGUAAUCUGCAGUUUCUGGGUUUCUGCUGCUGCACAGCAGCAACUUCUGUAAUUUUUUUUUUAAAUCCCUUAAAUGAAACGGCAUGCCGUUUCAUUUAGUAUUGAAAAAAAAAAUCCUUAAACAAACAACGCCGUUUCGUUAAUUGCUUAAAAAAAUAAAAAAAUUUAAAGGGGACCACUAUCCCCAUGCCUUCCAUUUUUCAAAGUAGACCUUCACUUUUUGAAAACCACCCCACUUUUUGAAAACCUCCAGCACAGCAGCCAACCUGAUGGGUUGGUUUUCCACUUCUCUCUCAAUUUUAGGUAAAUUUUGUAACUUUCUAAUUUAUAUUAUUCCUAACCCUAAUUGAUUAAUUAAUACAAAAUUUUAGUUAAUUAAUAUAGAAUCAUAGAGUAAUACACUAAUAUAGUUAUUGAUUUUUUAUUUUUGCAUAUAAAUAUGAAUCCUAUGAAUGAUUAUUAAUGAAUGAAAUUAUUGUCUAGAGUAAAAAUUGAAUUCUUGAUUAUUGAUAUUAAUCUAUUAAUUGAAUUUUUGUGUAUUAAAUAAUUUAUAUGAAUAUUGGUAUUAAUUAAUUGAAUUGUUGGUUUAAUUAGUUAGCACUCAUAUUGACUAUAGUAUAGCUUACUCUAGAAUUAAGAGUCUAAGAUUUUUUUUUUCUUUUUCAUAUAUAGUUAAACAAUGGAACAAUACUAUAAGAAACAAUGCUUAAAUCCUCCUUCAAAUAUUCCGGCUAGUCCUUCUUCAAAUAUUCCGAGUAGUCCUCCUUCGAAUAUUCCAAAUAUUUCUUCUUCGAGUAUUCCGGAUAGUUCCCAACAAAGUGAGGUCACUGAGUUUGAUGAAAUACUGGCUAAUCUUCAUGUAGACCCUAGACAUAGACAUUGAAUGCUUGAUUAUCCACCUAAUUAUCGUGAAGCAAUUCGCCGACAUUAUCUCCAAAACAAUCCUUGUCAACCUAAAGAUCACAUCAUGCCCAGAAAAGUUAGCAAUAAUCGAUGUUUUGUCACCCGUUGGUUUGAUAAUUUUAAGUGGUUGGAGUAUAGUAUAGUAAAACAUACCGCAUUUUGCCAUUAUUGCUAUCUAUUCAAGUGUGAUUUUGAUAAAGAGGGAAAUGCCGGAAGUGAUGUCUUCAUUGAGAUUGGGUUUACAAAUUGCCGGAAGUUCGCCCCUCCCCCCGAUAAAUCCUGGCUUCGCCACUGGACGUAGCCCAAACAUUGGGGUGAACCACGAUACAUCUUGUGUUAUUUACUUUCUUGCAGAUUCACGGUCGGAUUUACGUUGUCCCAAGACCCCUCCGGUUUUGUGCAUCAACAAACCUAAUGCCAAUUUUCGGAAUUCCCGUGUUAUAAAUUAUACCCAUUUAAUUUUUGGGGUAUUUUGGUUUACGCUAAUUAAUUUUAAUAUAAUUGUCACUUGGACUAUUGCCAACCAAAGUUAAUUUGACAAGUCUAUCAUUACUUUGCUUCCACGAUCGACCCCGUUUGGUCCUGAUCUGUUGGAUUAAUUAAAAGUUACCAACAGUCCAUUAAUCUGACAAUUAAUCCAAAACUAUUGACUUGAAAAUCACUUUUGGACAUUAUCGAUUCAAUAAUUUAUUUUUCUACUUUGAACCGUUAACAUUCUUUAGUAGUCCCAAAGCUCUCACACUUGAAUUCUCGAAGCAACUCAAAUCCACUACACUUAAAUCAGCAUAUUGUACUAUGUGUUCUUGCAUGAACCUCUCUUUUAUGAACUAAAUGUUCAUAAACUAAAUUGAACCUGCAGUUCAAAUUUAAUGCCUUUGAACCUGAAGUUUUCAUAAAACAAUAAACUCAUGAAAACCCGAAUUUUUCAUGUAUACCAUGUCUUAGAACCUGAAUGUUCUAACUUUGAUCGUUAUGGAUAUUUUAUUUCCUAUAGCAUUAUUCACAAUCUUGUUCCCUCCAUUUAGUGGAUUGUUGAACUGUCACAAGUUCGAUCUCACUGAUUUGGACGUUUCUAACAUAAACCACUUUAUGUGGGUACAAGAUGUGAAUCACCACUUAACUAUCAAGAAGCUGACAAACCAUUGUAGACAACAAUGGCAUGGAAGAGCAAAUCUCCACUUAACUAUCAAGAAGCUGAGAAAACAUUGUAGACAACAAUGACAUGAAAGAGCUGAAUAAGCCUCCGCCACGAUCUUUAUUCAAAGACAUUCCCGGAUAAUUACAAAGGGAAAUACCUCCCGAACGAGGAUUCCAUGGCUCUUGGCUCGCUUCUACGGACCAUUUAAUCAUGAAAGAUAUUGUCUGAAGCACACCAUGAUUACGUCCAUGAAUGAGCAUGGUUAUGAAGUUUAUAAAUCCGAUCGAAUUUUGAUUGGAGAAUACUUUUCUCAUCCUUCCAAGUUUCUAACUUACUCAUGAAGUAGCAAUGUAGAGAACGGAAGUUUACCAAGUUUUUGGAUCUGAUUACUACCACAAAUAUGAGAGAACAAUAUAGAUUCGGCUAUAGUCUACCGAAUGGUGGUGCCCUGCUUCGGCAGGGAUGCACCAAAGGUCAUGCUUUGUUCAGCAUAGGUGCACCAAACGGUAUUGCUCUAGUUCUACAGAGGCCUACCGAACAGACCCCUCCAACUUAGGCUGGAGCCUAUCGAACCCAAGUCUGGGUGUGUCUGUCACAAUCCAAUUUCGAGUUUGUUUUUACAACAUAUGGUAGAAUCAGGAAUUGCCAAGGUGUGACAUCAUGCUCGAAGCGUGAUCAUUGGCACCUAAGACCUAAAACUUCAAGAAUAACGGAUAAUAUUCUCGAACCUUAAUCCUGCAAAAUCUACUUCUGUCUCGAUGGAAUAGAUCAUUGGUUAUGGACCUGUUCGUGCCUCCACCAAUUUCGUUGAGGAGCACCAUUCUCGUAGUCAAUAUGUGAAACUAAUUUUCCUCCACUAACACCGUUGGAAAAGUAGAAUUUUGAUAUGAAUGGCCUUGUUGGCCGAAUCCCCUUAGUAAUUUUGAUUUACUUUGUGAACUUUUUUCUAUGUUCUUGGAUUCUAGUUUGGUGUUUGUUUUAGUUAUGGGUUAUCUUAUUGAUAUUGUCCUUGAAUAUGAGUUAAUUGAAUCAUGUUUCUUGUAUACAUGUGACCAAAUUCAAUUAAACAUGUGGUUAGGUAUGAAUGUGGGAAAGUUAGUUGUCUGGAUGAAUGCGAUACUACGGACACUAACUUUAUACCUAAAUCGCAUCUCUAGCAACAACUUCAGGUCUAACCAACCUGAUUAAGAGCAUUGGCACACUCCUCGUUGUAUGAGUGGUACUAAAUUUCAAGGGUUCACCACCCUACUUAUUCCAUAAAGUCUGGAAUACCGGAUAAUGUCGGAGACUUUAUAUCGAAGAUGCUUCGAUAAGUAUUGCAUGUCUUUCGGGUUCAUAAUUAGACAUCGAAUUCCCAUGUUCACCCCAAUAGCCUCGCAGAGUUAUCAUAAAGCGCAAUUUAAUUGAUCACCUGAACCUUGGUGAACGCACCAUGAUUUCAGUUUCUGCCUAGGCCUAUGCAAUCUUGUACGCAACUAUGUUGGGCCGCCUUGAGGCCCAUUGCCACCCAACCAUUUCAACAUUACAAUUGGUUACUGGGUACGAACCCGAUGUUUCGUAUUUACUCAUUUGGGUAUGCAUUCCUUGUGCCAAGUUGCACUGCCGCAACCAAUAUAGGUCUUCAAAAUAAGGAUGUGAAUCUUCGUCGAUUAUAAUUCUCCUUUACACUAGCUCUUUAGAGCCCUUGCAAGCUGUUGAUGUACAAAACCGGAGGUCUUGGAACAACGUAAAUCCGACCGUUAAUCUGCGAGAAAUGUAAAUAACACAAGAUGUAUCGUGGUUCACCCCAAGGUUUGGGCUACGUCCACACUGAUUAUAUUUAUCUGAGAGUAUUUGUGAGGAAGAGAGUGUGAGAGCUUUGCUCUAGAUAGGAGAGGCCAUUUUCUGAGGCAAAUUCCUAGGCCCUCUCACCACCUCUCAAGCAAUGUUGAUGCACAAAACCGGAGAACUUGGAACAACGUAAAUCCGACCAUGAAUAUGCAUGAAAUGUAAAUAACACAAGAUGUAUCAUGGUUCACCCCAAGAUUUGGGCUACGUCCACACUGAUUAUAUUGUAUUUCUCUGAGAAGUGAGGGACAGAGUGUGAGAGCUUUGCUCUAGAUAUGAGCGGCUUGAGAGGGGGUGAGAGGGCCUAGGAAUUGGCCUCAGAAAAUGGCCUCCCCUAAUUGUGAGGGUGAGGGGUCCUUUUAUAGAAUAAGGGCUCCUCACUUAUUACAUAUUUGCCCCUUCCUUUAUUACAUAAUUACAUUUGAGUCCCCCGAGUAUUUAUACGAGGUCUAAAUACAGAGACCCUAAAUAUGGUACAAACAGUAGUCCCCCAAGUUUUCAGUCAAGAGAGUCUUUUGGUUGGAGACUUGAAAUUCAGUCCAUGUGUGGGCCAAAGUAACUAGAUGUUGUCUUGAACUGAUGUUCGAUAUGAGGCGGUGCUCAAUCUGAAAUGAUGUUCAACUAGAAAUAGCACAUGCUGUGAGACUGCUUGGCUCGUGGCUUAUGUUGCCUUGGUUGGCUCUGCUUGUGGCGUUUGAUGGUGAGGGAGUCCCUUUUAUAGAAUAAAGGCUCGCUCCUCAAUACAAGAAUGAUGGGCUAGAGUUGAUGCUCGCGGCGAGGCGGUUGCUUAGUAGGCGGCGAUGCUCUCUAAUGAUGGUGAGGGAGUCCCUUUUAUAGAGUAAGGGCUCACUUCUCAAUACAUAAGUGAUGGGUUAUGAGUGAUGCUUGCGGCGAGGCGGUUGCUCAGCUGGCGACGUUGCUCUCUAAUGAAGGUGAGGGAGUCCCUUUUAUAAAAUAAAGGCUUGUUCCUCAAUACAUGAAUAAUGGGCUAGAGUUGAUGCUCUCUAAUAAUGGUGAGGGAGUCUCUUUUAUAAAAUAAGGGCUCACUCCUCAGUACAUGAACAAUGGGUGCUCUCUAAUGAAAGUGAGGGAGUCCAUUUUAUAGAAUAAGGGCUCGCUCUUUAAUACAUAAGUAAUGCGCUAAGUCCCCCAAGUAUUUUUCAUGAGGCUCAAUAUAUGGUACAUAAUGUAAUCCCCCAAGUCUUCGAUCAAUAGAGUCUGUUAGUUGGAGACUUCAAAUUGAAUCCAUGUAUGGGCCGAAGUGGUGGUUGUUCGGAGGCGGUAUUUGUAUACCCUGUACUGAAGCUUUGUAGGUGAAGCUUUGCAAGUGAAGCUUUGAAGCUAGAGCUUUGUAAAUGAAGCUUUUGAAGCUAGAGCUUUUGUAAAUAAAGCUUUUGAAGCUGAUUGACAUGAGUGAUGCUCAUGAAUGUUUGAUUGACAUGAGUGAUGUUCAUGGAUGUUGACAUGAGUGAUGCUCAUGAAUGUUGACAUGAGAGUUGUUCAUGAAUGUUUAUGUAUGAUUGAUAUGAGUAAUGCUUAUGAAUGUUAUGUAUGAUUGACAUAAGUAAUGCUCAUGUAUAAUAUGAAGUAUUGGGCGUACAUUUGAUCACCUGGUUGGUGGCAUGAAGAAGAGUACGGGUUGUACAUUUCAUCACCUGGUUGGUGGCAUGAAUGGCUAGUUGCCAAAUUAGAGUACGGGUUGUACAUCAUGAAUGGCUAGUUGCCAAAUGAUAUUAGAGUACGGGUUAUACAUUUCAUCACCUGGUUGGUGGUAAUAACGGCGGGUUGCCGAAUAAUUUUGGAGUACUGGGCGUACUUUUGAUCACUUGGUUGGUGGUAAUAGCGGUGGGUUACCGAAUAAUUGUGGAGUAUUGGGCGUACUUUUGAUGACCUGGUUGGUGCUAUUUGCUAUUUCGAGCUUAUGUCCCUCCACAACAUGCCAGCCCAUUUGUUUUGGGCUUUGCCGUUUUUAUUUUUUAUUUUUUUUAAUUACCCUCUGAUGGGGUUUAUACAUAUUACCCUCUGAUAGGGUUUAUAUAGAUGUCUCUGAAAGAUAAUAAAAAUAAAUUACAUCAUUCGGGUAGGGUGUUUAUUCCGUGCUUUUGCAGUGUUUUUCUGCUUUCUCUUUUGCUUUCUCUUUUCUUUUCUGCUUUGCUCUUGCUUUUGUUUCUACUUCUCACUGCAUUUCUUUUCUCUAGUAUACAUAUCCUCUGGGCCUUCAGAAAGUGAUUUCACAUGGCUACCACCCUGUAAAGAAGAUGCAGGGGAUGGGUCACUAAGCUCUUUGAAUUAUUGCUUGUCCUGCCUUACAUGGUGAAACUGAGUGGAGCUUUGGUUCGAGCAGAGCACGAAGGCUAAGUGUCGGGGAGGGCUUCGUCCUCAGGAAUCGCAUACUUAGUCCUAGGUGGUGAUGUUGCUCAUGAUAAGACCAAACCAAUCUCCAGUAAAAAGGUCAUAUUUUACUACUGCAGUUUUGAUAAAUCACAAGAUCAUUAAUAGCAUUUAAAGCAACACCGCCGGUAGUGGUAAUCAGAAUAAAAGACACCGCUUUUCGACCAAAAAAAGGACGUGCUUUUCUCUUCCUCCACCGUCUUCGCCGCUGAACUGUGCCAAACCCAUCUUAUUAGCCACAUCACACUCCAUUAGAUUCAACCUGGAAAAGUACGAUGUUGAGGAGCUCCUGUUAAACGACGAUACCAUCUUCCUUGCCAACAUUUUUCUCUGUUCCGUUUGCUUGCUCUGAGUCUGUUCUCAGCCCCGUGAUUAACGUCGUCGGCUCCGGUGUAUUGAAGAUCGCCGAUCCGGUCAUCGAUUGCAUCCGGAAGUUAAUCGCCUAUGGGUAUAUGCGCGGCGAGGCUAACGCAUCCAGGGACGCCACGGAAGCGAAGUGAAGCUUUAAAUUGAUCGAGUCUGUGUGUAGAUGUCGUGAUUGGAGGGACGAUCAGAUGGAGCUGCUAUUUUGCUCUCUCACAUCCAUCUGCUCGCUUGCUUGGCUCUCCAGCUUCGCUAGUAAAAUGCAGAUUUGCAAAUUCACCGACCGUCGGCGUCCACUCAUACGGCGCAGUAUGCGCGUUUCUUGAAGGAGCUGACCUCGUGCGUGUGCUCGUGGAGGGAGCGAAGGGGGUUGGAGGCUGGAUCCGUCAGCGAUAGCAGCAACUAGAAGGGAAUCGUGGGACUCAGAUCAUGCGAUGGUGAUUGGUUGGUGGCGUACGCCGAGGCCCAGAGGGACGGGGGAGAGGUCGAUGACGUGGAGAUGAGCUUGGUGAUUUUGCAGCAAUACUGCCGGAUUUCAGGCCAAAAGCAUGUAUAUAGAUAUAUGCACAGGAAGCAAGACGGAUGACAGUGGGUCUGGGGGAGAGAAACUAGUCCAGGCUUUUUUAACGGCCCGCAUAAGCUGCAUGCACUAAGAGACUAGCCCAGCCCAUUCAAAGUAACUGUAAGCGAGCUCGGGCUCAACAAGGUGCCCAGUGAAUAAAGCCUGGUUCUUGGUCUCGAUCAUCUAUACCCAGCGAACAAGUUUGUUGUUCUGAGAAACCAAACUUGAGAGAGAGGGAAAGAGAGAGAUUUGGAUUUUUUUUCAUUUUGCAGAUUCACGGUAGAGGUGAAAAAUUGAGAGAGAACAGCAUAACUUUUUGUGUCGUUUCCCACAGACAGCGCCAAAUGUUGAUGCACAAAACCGAAAGUCUUGGAACAGCGUAAAUCCGGCUGUGAAUCUACAUGAAAUGUAAAUAACACAAGAUGUAUCGUGGUUCACCCCAAGAUUUGGGCUACGUCCACACUGAUGGUAUUGUAUUUCUCUGAGAAGUGAGGGAGAGAGUGUGAGAGCUUUGCUCUAGAUAGGAGCAGCUUGAAAGGGGGUGAGAGGGCCUAGGAAUUGGCCUCAGAAAAUGGCCUCCCCUAAUUGUGAGGGUGAGGGGUCCUUUUAUAGAAUAAGGACUCCUCACUUAUUACAUAUUUGCCCCUUCCUUUAUCAUAUAAUUACAUUUAAGUCCCUCGAGUAUUUGUAGGAGAUCUAAAUACAAGGCCCUAAAUAUGGUAUAAACACAAACGAUCUUUUUACCACUCAUUUGCGAAUUGUCACUUCAAUGAGACAUUCUUCCCGUUGUUAGGGGGAGAUAAGAACGUCAACGCUCCUGUAAAACGGCGUGAACUUGCAUAGACGUUGCCCACUAUGCCUCAUCUUGAUCCUCAUACCGCACAAGUGUGAUAAGUAAGUGCAAUGUAUUCUAGCUUUCAAAAUGUUGCCAGACGCAUUUCUCUGCUCUAGCUAAAGUGACGAGAUCAUAUACCAACUGUAAACAUGCCUGCAAGGAUAGACGUACUUAAUGGAUGUUGAGUUAACAUCCUCGAAGGAUGUGCCACCUAUAAUGACGAUUUGGUCACCUAUGUUGGGCUGUCUGGUACACCAACGGAUAGCCAAUCAAUCUCACGAGUGGAUUCAAUUCCCUAAAAGAGGAAAGACACAGCACAAAAUGAAUCUAUACUUGGUCGCUAUCUCAAAUCAUUUCCAUCUCAUAAGAUUAAUCCAUAUUACUCCCGAGACUUGAAGUUCUUGGUCCAGAAUACUAGUUUGGAUGAGUUAAUGGAAUUGGAAUGAGAUAUCAUCAAUGAUGUUUUCAUUUAUAUGGUUGCUACCGACAUAAAUGAAAAGCGACGAUAUCAAACUGUGUUAUGUUGGUUAAUGACAACGUAAAACUAAUUGGACAACCGAAAUCACAAUCCAAGUUAAAUUCCUUACCAAAGUAUGUUUGGACCUGUAGUUCCUACACUGCCCAAGGUAAUCCUGUUGUGUUACAUGUGGGAAAGGAAGUGUAAUGAGAUUAAUGAAAUAGUGCGAUGUAAUGCAUGCCUUAUGGUGCAAGGUUUCUCUCAAACGCCCUAUGAUUGAUUGCAGCAUUAUGAAUGUGGUUAGUGUUUCUCCAUAGGGAUAUUGAUACGAAGAUUUACAUGUAUGUUCCCGAAGAAUUACAUGGACUGGUUCAAAUAGUUCCAAACCACGGAACACCAUUUCAACUCAUUUGAGGCGUUCACUUACGGAUUGAAGCAAUCCGACGGAUGUGGUAUACCCGUCUAAGUGAUUAUUUGAUCAGUUAAGGAUAUAAAUUAUGCCUUUGUGUAUUAAACUAUGAAGUCUUAUUCCAAAUUGCUAGAGUUGCAGAUUAUGUCGAUGACAUGCAUCUCACUUAGACUUUAGAAGAGCUUGAGAAAACUGUCUUGCAUCUAAAGACGAAAUUUGAGAUGAAGAAUCUUGGAAAAGCUCGUUUAUACCUUAAACUGAAGUUCAAGCGUUGUUCUGAUAGUACAUUGGUCUACUAGUCAAACUACACCCCGAAGGUAUUACCUUUUGAGUAUACCUAUAAUCUUCUAACGCUAUAUGCAAAUGAGAUCCUUGAAGAGGUUAUGGAAUCCGAAGUUCCAUAUUUGAGUUCAACUUUGCGCUUUGUUGUAUUUAGCUCAUUGCAUUAGAUAAGACAUCUCUUUUGCUGUUGAUCCAUUGGUAAAGAUGCAGCACUGCGCCGACACGCAACCACUGAAUUGGUAUUAAAGAUGUUUUCUGCCACCUUGAAGGUACUAGGGAUUUAGGCAAGUCCCAACGCAACCCGAGCGGAGCCAACCCCCUUGAUCCUCAGAAUGAUGAUUGCCUUGUGUGUUAUGCUAACGAUGGUUACUUAUCAAACCCACACAAGGCACAUCCCCGAAUGGUUAUGUCUUUACCGUUAGGGAUAUCACAAUAUUUUGGAGGUCCACAAUAUGACCUUAGUUGUGAAAUCUUCAAAUCGUUCCAAGACUCACCUUACUUCACUAUGCCACACGUGAAACAUGGUUAGGAAUUCUAGUUGAGCAUAUUCGAAGUACUUGCUGUUUUCGUCCAUCGUUGAGUUCCAACGACGAUCCAUGAAGACUAUGCCGCAUGUAUCAAUCCGACUAAGACAUGAUACAUCAACAAAGUCAAUGCUAAGACAUAUUGCGUCUACAUCAACAAAGCAUCAGGGGAUUGAAAUACUUAAUAUUUUUUUGACCCCCCAUAUUGGUAAAAGAGUAUGUAAACUGAAAAGAACAGCUCAACGACCAUAUAUACUUUUGUACAAAACCAUUUAAGAACUCAAGUUGGCCAAAAAAAAUAUCAUCAGAUAUGUUACCAUUCUUUAAUUGUUUUUUAAUUGUAUAAUUAUUUUUGGUCUCGUUCGCAAAGUAAUUUUCUUUUUCCUUAAGUAUUGAGUUUGAAAUGGUGUUUUCCUCUGAUGGUUAAUUAUCAAUAGUUUACAUGUAAAGCCCCCUUUUUUUUAUAUAAAAAAAGAUUUAAUGAUAAGAACCUAACAAACAAAAUUUUAACGCAAAACACCUAAUGAAUUUUUUCAACUACAUGUUGAAUCACAAUCUUAUACCUUAUGUUUUAAACAUUACAAUGUCAUACCUUAACUUAUAAAUUUGUUACAAUGUCAGACAUUCGUUAAAUUUUCGGUAAAUUUUAUUGUUAAGUGAUGAUGUGUCAGGUGUAGGUUCCACUCCUCAUCCAACUGAAUUUAAAAAUUAAUUAAUAUUAAUAAAUUGAGCUUUUUUAAUCUCAAAAAAAUUAAAAGUUAUUAAAAAACCUCCUCUCUCCUCACGUCACUCUCCCUCUUCUGUCCCUCAUCCGUCAACUCCAUUGGUUUUGGUCUGAAAAAACCAAAAUUUAAGAUUUUUUUUUUUGGUCUGACAAAGUUAAAUAAUUGAAAAAAUAACCUCUUCUUGACUUUCUCCUUGAUUUUGCAGCAACGUUCCCAAAUUCACAAUGAUCUGCAAGUUCAGAUUGGAGGAACAUGUAUACAUUAGAUCUUGGGUAUCUCUUGAUUUUGCAGCCUCUCCCCAUUUCAGCCAUCACCAAUCCAACCUCCCCCCGUUUCAGCCAUUACCAAUCUGUUUCAUUUCUCCAUUGGUUUCGCAGCCGCCCAAUUGGGUGUCUCUUGUUUCUGAUUCCCCGAGAGCUUGUACCUGUGCAACUCGAGAAUCUUGUGUUCGAGCCUGACGACAAUGAUUGAAACUUCGCUGCCUCGCUGGGUUGUGGUGGUGGAUCGGCUCGUCGAAAUCGUACGGCUCCCAGAGGUGGUCCAGCGGGCAUGGGUUCUUGCUGUUGCCGCUCGAGACCAGCUGCCUCCUCCCCUUCUCCAGCAGUCUCAACGUGUACCGCUCCGUGUCCAAUCUAGAUCAGAUCAGCGAGUGGCCCGUCUAGUGCGAGCCAGGUGUCAGAUGCAAUUUGGAUGGAAGACUUGGUCGGAUUUGGGAAGCAAAUGCAACGUUUCGAAGCCGUGGAACUCGCUCGCAUUCCAGAGCUCCCUAGCCGAUCUUUCGAGCCUCGACGGCGGAGUAGACGAGGGAGAGAAGAGGGAGAGAGACGAUAGGAGGGUUUAUUUUAAUAAAUUUUAAUUUUUUCGUUUUAAAAAUCUUAACGUAUUAAUAUAAAAUUAAUAUUUAAUUUCAGUUGGAUGAGAAGUAAACUCUCAUUUGUCACGUCAUCAUUUAACAGAAAAUUUAACGGAAGUCUGACAUUACAAUAAAUUCAUAAAUUAAGGUAUGACAUUAAAUGUUUAAAACAUGAGGUAUGAGAUUAUGGUCCUACCUAUAAUAGAGGUAGUUUUGUAUAAUUUACUCUUUUUUUUUUGUUACGUCACAACUUGCGACCCGUUCCUGUUCAAUUUUCACUUCUAGUUUUACCUUGUUUAUGAUUUCAAAGACUUGGGAAUUGAAAUGAGCUAGAAUCAGAAGUAGAUUGUUAUUGAAGUUGUUUACCAAAAGUGUCUGGAAUUGGAAUUGAAAUGACAUUGAUCUAUAUAAACCGUUUACUAAUCCAUAUGAAUCGGAAUAAAAUCUAAUAUAAUUACUAAAGUGCCCUUGCUUAACUAAUUUAUUUUAUUUGCUAAUUAUUUUUGGUAAAACUUUUACUCUUUCAUUUUUUUUUUAAAGAAUUUUUUUUUAGUAAAACUUUUAGUACAAAUUUAAUAUGAAAGAAUAUUUUUUAUUUGCUUCUACAUAUUUGAGAAGAUUCUUAAUCACCCUAAUUUAUUUCCUCUUCUCUCUCCCCCCUUUCUCCCCAGUCUUUCUCAGCAGUCAAUCUCGCUUGACCAAAACGCUCUCACCCACACCAUCCUCUCCAAUACCUACCACCACCACCGUCUCUCGUCCCUCUUCUCCUCCCCCUUCCUCUUCUCUCUCACCCUCCACUGCCUCAACUCACUCCCCCUCGUCAACAAGACUCUCCUCAUCGCCAACCAUGUUCUCUCUCAUCCUUCUUCCCUGCCAUUCGUGGUUGUUCACCAAAUCCUCGCUAACAAACACCCUGGGGAAUAAGGGUCUACCGUUCACACCAAUCCAAGCAAUCAAUUUCUAACUUGCAUCCACAAAUUGGUCUGCAACAUUCGCAUAAAGAAGGGUCUGCCGUUCCAAGACUCGUUCCGUAAGAACAUGACUCGGCCCAGUGUUCCACCUGGGUUUGCAAUGUGUAAGGGCGGUGUCGUGGUAGUGGUCAAGGUGUAAGGAGUCGGUGGAGGAGAAAGGAAGGAGAGGGUGUGCUACUGGUAGAAGGUGCAAGGGUAUUUUGGGUAGAAAUGUUUGAUUCCAUAAAAAGACUUCCUCCAAGAAUUCAAUUACCACCUCCAUGUAGGUAAUUGAAUUCCGGAAGAUUAAGGAAUUCGAUUCCAAAUUUUAAGUGGGUCCCACUUACUUUUUCAUUCCCUACAUGAUAGUAAACGCGGAAUGCUUCGGGAGGAAUGCGAUUCCGUUUCUUUCCAUUCCAUUCCCGUUUGGUAAACGCGCCCUAAGAGUAAAUAAUUAUGGCAAUCACCAUAGACGAUGGAUGGAAAUAUUUUCCUUGUAGAUAAUGAUUUCAAAUAGGUAUGUGCUAUUUGCACCUUUUUUUUUUAUUUUUAGACACCUUAAUUUGUGAUCGUCGGAUCGAAUGAAUUAAAGAAGAUCAAAAGAUAGAAAUUAACAAGGGACCGCAAGAAGUAAAAAGGGGUGGGUACAUUAUCCACCCAUUUCAAAUUUUAAACGACUGAAAAAUGUUAAGGAGACUUUUUCGACUCUUUAAUUUUAAAAAUAUGUCGUCUCUUUGAAAAUUAUAUUUCAGUUGGACAUGAUUAAAGAAGAAGAAGACCACAAAAUUUAUAUUUCAAGCGGGAGUUUUGGGGUGGGUGUGAUGUUGUUGUUGGGUAGAGGGCAUCAAGUGGAUGAUCUUGGUGGUGGCAAUGGCGGGCGGAUGUUUGGAUGCAGGUGAGGCGAUGUUUGGUUGGAGAUUGCUGGGUUGCCGGGCGCCGUUUGGAUGCAAGUUGUGGUGAUCUUUAUUUCUUCAAAAGCCCCAAAAUAAUGUGAAUGGUGGAAAUUGUGAAAAAAAAAUCCAGAAAAGAGAAAAUCUAGAAGGACACAUAAAAUAAUAAAAAUUUCGAACAAAAAGUUCUAGGGUACCGAGUAAAGAGCUUUACUCCAAGUUGCUGAGAGUAGACCUGGCAGUUUUUGACACGAUACGGUGAUACGACACGAAAAUAAUGGGUUUCGGGUUAACAAGAUAACUUAUCGGUUCACUAUUGGGUGACCCGUUAAGAACCCGUUAAUAACGGGUUCUUAACAGGUAUACACACAGGUAACACGAGGGUAACCCGUUUCGACCCGUUAAGAAAAAAUUAUUUUAAUAAUUUUAAAGUUUAAUUACUAAAAGAUUUAUUAUCAAAUACAAUAGUAAUAUUAAUAUAUACAAUAUAUUCUAUAUUAAAUAUAUAGUUUUGUAUUAUUGUUCUAUAUAAAUUAUAAAAAAAAAAAAGUUUUAUUCAUUAUUUAUUUUUAUUAUGAGAGUUCCUUAUUAUCAUUACUAGGAUAAAUUUUACAUAACAUAUUAUUGUCGAAAAUUAAAAUAUACUAGUAUAGUAUUUGUAUAUGCAAGAACUAAGAAGACAUACAUACAAGUAUGAAAAAUAUGAAAGAAUAUAUAAACACUCGUGAUUUAUCAUUAUUCCUCCACGGACAGAUAAUUGUUACACUUAUAUUAUCGUUUAGAUUUUUAAAAUCCUUCAAACCCUCAUGAAUAAUGUUUUUUAUUUAAGGGAAAAAUUAAUAAAAUUAAUAAUAAUUAUUGUAGAAGUGUAAAAAAUGUAAAAAUAUAUAUAUAUACAAUCACUCAUAUAUAAAAAAAUGUAAAUGCUUUAAAGUAAAGAUCAAAUUUAUUCAUUACAUUCUUAUAGGGUCGAGGAGUGUAUGUACAAAAUCAUCAAAAUCGAAGUUAAAAUAACCGUUAAAUUAUGAUUUUUCGUUUAUAACCGUCGAAAACUUUUGUUCCGUUACGUAAUCUCUGAAUGUUUGUUUUUUACGAUUUUUUACGUUUGCAAUCUCGAAAUGUGUACAAAUAAGUUUGACGGUUGGAUCGUUGAAAAAAAUUUCGUAAAAUGCAUAUUGGGUCAAAACGGUAUAUUAAACAAACACUUAGAGUUAAUAUUAUACUUCUAUUAAGUAUAAAAUAAGUUUUUGUGGUAUCCACUAGUGUAAAUACUUUCAAUUAAAGAUAAAAUUUAUUCAUUACAUUCUUAUAGGGUCGAGGAGUGUAUCUGUAAAAAAUCAUCAAAAUCGGAGCUAAAAUAACCGUUAAAUUGUGAUUUUUCGUUUAUAAUCGUCGAAAACUUUUGUUCCAUUACGUAAUCUCUGAAUGUUUGUUUUUUACGAAAUUUUACGUAUACAAUCUUGGAAUGUGUACAAAUAUGUUUGACGGUUGGAUCGUUGAAAAAAGUUUUGUAGAAUGCAUAUUGCAUCAAAACGAUAGAUUAAACAAACACUUGGAGUUAAUAUUAUACUUUUAUUAAGUAUAAAAUAAGGUUUUGUGGUAUCCACUAGUGUAAAUACUUUCAAUUAAAGAUCAAAUUUAUUCAUUAAAUUCUUAUACGGUCGAGGAGUGUAUCUGUAAAAAAAUCAUCAAAAUCGGAGUUAAAAUAACCGUUAAAUUGUGAUUUUUCGUUUAUAAUCAUUGAAAACUUUUGUUCCGUUACGUAAUCUCUGAAUGUUUAUUUUUUACGAUUUUUUACGUAUGCAAUCUCGAAAUUUGUACAAAUAAGUUUGAUGGUUGGAUCGUUAAAAAAAGUUUCGUCGAAUGCAUUUUGCGUCAAAAUAGUAGAUUAAACAAACACUUAAAGUGAAUAUUAUACUUCAAUUAAGUAUAAAAAAAGUUUUUGUGGUAUCCACUAGUGUAAAUACUUUAAAUUAAAUAUCAAAUUUAUUCAUUACAUUCUUAUAGGGUCGAGGAGUGUAUCUGUAAAAAAUCAUCAAAAUCGGAGCUCAAAAUAACCGUUAAUUGUGAUUUAUUCGUUAUAAAAACCGUCGAAAACUUUUGUUCCGUUACGUAAUAUCUGAAUGUUUGUUUUUUAUGAUUUUUUACGUAUGCAAUCUCGGAAUGUGUACAAAUAAGUUUGACGGUUCGAUUGUUGAAAAACGUUUUGUAGAAUGCAUAUUGUGUCAAAACAGUAGAUUAAACAAACACGUUAAUAUUAUACUUCUAUUAAGUAUAAAAUCAGUUUUUGUGGUAUCCACUAGUGUAAAUACUUUAAAUUAAAGAUCAAAUUUAUUCAUUACAUUCUUAUAGGUCGAGGAGUCUAUCUGUAAAAAAAUCAUCAAAAUCGGAGAUAAAACAACCGUUAAAUUGUGAUUUUUCGUUUAUAACCGUCGAAAACUUUUGUUCCACUACGUAAUCUCUGAAUGUUUGAUUUUUACAAUUUUUUACGUAUACGAUCUCGGAAUGUGUACAAAUAAGUUUGACGGUUGGAACGUUGAAAAAAGUUUCAUAGAAUGCAUAUUGCGUCAAAACGGUAGAUUAAACAAACACUUAGAGUUAAUAUUAUACUUCUAUUAAGUAUAAAAUAAGUUUUUGUGGUAUCUACUAGUGUAAAUACUUUAAAUUAAAGAUCAAAUUUAUUCAUUACAUUCUUAUAGGGUCAAGGAGUGUAUCUGUAAAAAAUCAUCAAAAUCGGAGCUAAAAUAACCGUUAAAUUGUGAUUUUUCGUUUAUAACCGUCGAUAACUUUUGUUCCGUUACGUAAUCUCUGAAUGUUUGUUUUUUACGAUUUUUUACGUAUGCAAUCUUGGAAUGUGUACAAAUAAGUUUGACGGUUGUAUCAUUGAAAAAAGUCUUUGGACCGCCAGCAAUAGAUAAUUUUGUAGUAGUGAAACCUUAAAUUUAUUUAACUGUCGAUUGUCAUUUACGCUUUAUUCUUCUUACUGAAUUUCAUUUUUAAAAUUUUAUUUUUUGAAAACAUGAUCAUCUGGCGGAUGUAAGAAAAUGAUAUCACGUUUCGAUAUUUACGGUUAACUGAAAUAUUAGUCAAUGUCAUAUAAUUUGUAGAAACUUUAUAAACAUCAAGUAAUAUUUUCACUAACCGUAAAACUCUAAAAAAUAAUAAUAUCAACGAUCCAAACCGUUCAUUCUACCUGCACCCUCUAAUAGAUCAUGUUUUUUCAAAAAAGAAAAUCUAAAAAAACGAAAUUUGAUGAGAACAAUGAAGCAUAAAUGUAAACAACAAUCAACGGUUAAAUUUUGAUCUAUGAUUUAUAUGAUUAUAAUGGCGAAUUUCGAAGUUAAGCUCUUCAUGAAAGUUAUAAAGCUUGUCAUUACGAGUAUUUAUAUAUAUUUUUCUAAGAACACGGAAAACAUGACACGAAUGCCAGGUCUAGCUGAGAAUCGCAAAGAGCUUUACUCCAAGUAAAUAUAAUACUUGGUACUAACUGUUCAGUACCUAAAAUUUACUGACUCCAAUAAAUCAUACAUACCUGUUCAUUUUCAAGUAUCAAAUCACACAACCAAAUACCCAAGAAAUUUUUAGUUGUGACAGGAACACGGGUGGUACACUACGUGUUCUUAUGUAAGUGGUGAAAAUUUUUAUUUUUUAAGUUAUUAACUUUUUAAUACACAUAUCCCACCAUUUAUAUAGCGACACAUGGUGUAUCACCCCGUAUAACAAUCACACUGAAAAAUCCCUCCAAACACCCCUAGUUCUACAAACCAAACAUCCUUCUUCUCCCUCUCUCUGCCCACAGUUUGCUCCAGACCAGCAAAAACAUUGCAAAUCUUUCACAAAAACUAUUACCCAUCUAACUGAACCUAUACGAUUUAACUUUAUAAAAAGGAUUAUGGGUGUGCUCUCCACACACCCCCUUUUUACUUCUCACACACCCUUAUUAAUUUCUGUCAGUUGAUCUUCUUCAAUUCAUCUGAUCUGACGGUGGAAAAUCAAAAAGGUGUAAGAGAAGUAAAAAUGGGUGUGUGGAUAUCACACCCCAAAGGAUUAAUCUCAGUUAACUACCUUGAAGUUUAUUGGUUUUCAACAUUUAAGACAUCAAGUUUUUUUCGUCAAGUCUAGUACCUAAAGUCAUAAUUUUGAGACACUUUCAUACAUCCGUUAGUUUUUUCGUCAAAACCUCUGUUAAGUGAUGACUUAGCGUCCACAUGGACAAUGAUUGGAUGCCACAUGUCAAUACGAACAUUUUUGGAUUUAAUUUUUAAAAAUAAUAAAAAAAUAAUUUUUUUUCCUUCCUCUGUUUUCGUCUCUAUCUAUCUCCCUAUUCCGAGAGAACUUAGCAACCACCAACCUUUCCCCACCGACCCAACCCCGUGAGCCGCCGGAAAUGGGUCUCAAUCAGAGACCGAGAGAGAAAAAUGAGAGCCCACACCGAUCCCCAUUUUCUAUGAGCAACGUCAAAACAGUAAAAUCCCUAUUUUCUUUUUGGCCCGUGAUUUUCUCAGCAACCAAACAAAAAUGAGGAAGAUAGGGAAAAUGAAGAAACUAACCUUUGGAAGAAAAUUCAUGUUAAGAGAGAAUUUUGGAACUGGAUUAAAGGUCAAUGAAGGGAUUCAAAUUCUUAGCCCAUGGAGAAAUUAACCAUGCCAAAGAUUCAAGAGAAUUCAAAUUCAAAUUACAAAAAUUAUUUCUGAAUCUAAACCCAAAACCCACCUGAAAUUCACCAAGAAUAGAAGAAAUAAAAAAUUGGGCUAGCUGUGCAUUAAUGGAGAAAGAGAAAAUGGGAAGAAAACCAUGGAAUUGAAAAUUCUAGAAGAAAAAAAUGAUAAAAUUUAAGAAAUGAGCAUUAACCAUGGUGACCUAGAUCUAGAAAACUGGUUGUUUAGCAAAAAAUUGGAAAUGAUUUUACCUUUCGGUGAUUGAGCUUUGUGUCUCCUCUCCUCUUUUGCUUUCUCUCCCUACUGGGUUUUGGCGUUUUGAAGAAAUUGCGAUGGGAAAGAAACAAAGAAAGAAAACAAGACAAGCAAGCUUUCCCUUCCCACAAGUUUUCUCUCUCGGUCUCUGAUCGGAACCCAUUUCCCAUGGCUCACGGGAUUAGGUCGGUGGGGAAAGGUUAAUGAUUGCUGGGUUUUCUCUCAGAAGAGAAGGGAAGAGGGGAGAGAGAUAGAAGACAAAGGGAGAGGAAGGAUUUUUUUUUUAUUUUUUUUAAUAUUCAAUUGACACGUGGCGUCCAGUCAUUAUUCAUGUGGGCGUCACAUCAUCACUUAACAGAUGUACUGACAGAAAACAGAAAACUUAACAGAUGUAUGAAAGUGUUCCAAAAUUAUGACUUUAGGCAUCGGACUAGGACGAAAAAAAACUUGAUGUAUGAAAUGUUAAAAAUGAAUAAACUUCAGUAGUAUACUGAAAUUAACCCAUAUAAAAAAGACGUUCAUGCCUUCCUUGAGGUUCUUCUUGACCCACUGAUUGUAACCACUACAGAGAUCCAUAUUAAAAUUACUUGUACAUAUAAAUUCAUGAUCGUUAGUCAAUCAUAUGCAGUGAAUUUUUUUUUACUUGAUAUCAAGAACUAUCUUAUAAUAAAUCAUCUAUUUAUUAGCUGCAUAUAAGUGAGUAAUUGAUAUUUGAUUUAACUGAUUUUUCGUGAGCAUGAUUUUAAAUUGAUGAUUAGUAAAUUAGCGGUUUUAGUUAUGAAAUUUGCGCAUCAAAAUAUGAUUACUGCAAAAGGAUAAUGCUAGAAUGAUCAAAAUUUUAAACCAAAUUUCACUGUUCUAAAAAUUCUUGCCUAGAGCCUCUAGGCAUUGUUUAGACGCUAGGCGGCUGACCACUGUCCUGAUUAGUCCCUAGGCAUUUGAAAAACUAAGAAAGUGCAUCUAGACCUGCUUAAGUGUACGCCUAGCCCACCUAAGCGCCCACCUAGCCCGCCUAAACUCGUCUAGACACUCGCUUAGGUCGCGACUCUAACUUAGACAUAAAAUCAAUAACAUUUAUUUUGCUUUUUAUUUUUUCAAUAAAAUGUAAGAUACUUGUAGCUUGGAUGAACACUCAUCACAUGCUUAUUCUUCAUGUUUUCAAUAUAUUAUAAUACUUUAUAAUUUAUAUGUCAUUUUAUUUUGUAAUUAAUGUAUCUCAAUAUAAUCAUGUGUGUUUUUUAAGUAUAAAUAAGCACUUAUUUAACAUAUAAAAAAUUUACUUAAAUCCGUCUAGGCCUCCGCCUAAGUCCCGCCUAGCCAUUAGGCCUCAGCUUGUCGCCUAACUAGCGUCUAGUAUCUUUUAGAACUUUACCAAAUUUGCAAACCAAAUUACAUGCCACUAAUAUGAAAUAAGCACGUUAAUCUACACUUAAUUAAUAAUCCAAUCAUCAAUAACCACAUCGUUUGAUUUACAAAAUUGAUGUAAAAAUUUAAUCUCUCUAACAUUAUUCAUUAAAAAAUAUUCUGGAUUUUCUCAUCCACAAUUAAUAUGUUUGAAAUUAGCUGGCCGACCUUUCCAAAUGAAAGUUUACAGGAUUGUCUCAUCCACAAUUAUUAUGUUUGAAACUAGCUGGUUGACCUUCCACAUUAUAGCUCUAUAAAAUCAAGCACCAGCUAGCAUUCAUAAUACUCAAAGAAACAAAUUGAGAACUCCCAAAGAGCGCAAUAUAUAUCAAUAUGGCACUUUGGGUUUGGUUAACAAUUGGGGUGCUUGCCCUUGUUCGCAUCGUGCAAGCAUGCAUAUCAAAAGGCAAGAACAAAAACAAGAUGUUACCUCCUGGUCCGAGAGGGUUUCCUAUUUUUGGCAGCCUCCAUUUGUUAGGGAAGUUCCCUACCAUGGAUCUUCAUCAACUAGCCCAGAAAUACGGUGACAUCAUGUACUUGAGGUUAGGCCUCCAGCAUACCGUGGUCGUCUCGUCCACACGAGCGGCCGAGCUGUUCCUCAAAACCCACGACCUUAACUUUGCAAGUAGACCACCUAAUGAAGGUGCAAAGCACCUCAUCUUUGGGCAAAGAAGCUUGAGCUUUGCUGAGUAUGGCUCGUAUUGGACCAACAUGCGAAAGAUUUGCAUGCUCGAAUUACUUAGCAACCAAAAGAUCAACUCUUUCAAGUCCAUGAGGAGAGAAGAGGUUGCUCUCUUGAUAAAAUCUGUUCAAGACGACGCCAAUAGUCGACGCAUUGCUAAUGUGACUGACAAGGUCUCGUCGCUCGGGAUCAACAUGACCUGCCGGAUGGUGUUUGGGAAGAAGUACAAGGACGAGGAGUUUGGCGGGAGGGGUUUCGCGUCUGUGAUGAAAGAGGGUAUGAAACUAGCAGCAGCACCUAACUUGGGAGAUUUCAUUCCUUGUAUUGCACCGCUUGACCUGCAAGGGCUCACUAAAAAAAUGAAGGCUGUUAACAAGGCGUUUGAUGAAUUUUUUGAGAAGGUUAUUGACGAGCAUCUUCAAUACAAGGAUAAAGAAAGAACAAAGGACUUCAUCGAUGCCAUGCUGGCCCACAUGGGGUCUGAAGGAUCCGACUACCGAAUCGAACGCUUGAAUAUCAAAGCCAUGAUGUCGGUGAGUGUACAUAUCAUCAUUUUACAUAUUUGUCUUUUCAUUCUUGCUUGACUUCAAGUUCAAACGAAAUCGUUUCUGGUUAGACAAUUUAACAUGAUGUGGUCAAAGAUUGUUAUUUUGAACCAUUAGGUCGACUUUUUUUUUAAUAUACUAGAUUGACAGUUGACGAUAUAAAUUUGUGAUUUAAUAUGGACAUUAAAUUAUCAUUUAUGUACAUGUGUCGCGUUAUUAUAUGUACUUCAUCUAGCAAUGAAAAAUUUAUUGGCAGGACAUGUUCGCGGCUUCAGCGGACACAUCAUCAACAACAGUCCAGUGGGCGCUCUCGGAACUCUUGAGGCAUCCACAGGUUAUGAAGAAAGUCCAAAAGGAGUUAGAAAAUGUUGUAGGCCUCAAAAGAAUGGUGGAGGAAUCAGACAUGGAGAAAUUAGAGUAUUUGGACAUGGUAGUGAAGGAAACCAUGAGGCUACAUCCUGUGGUACCAUUGUUGCUUCCUCAUGCAGCCAUCGAAGAUUGCACUGUCGAUGGCUACCACAUACCGAAGAAGUCACGCGUUAUUGUAAAUGCGUGGGCAAUCGGGAGAGACCCGAGUGCUUGGGAAGAUGCAGAGAAGUUCGUACCAGAGAGGUUUGAGGGUAACAAUGUUGAUGUUAGAGGACACCACUUUCAGCUUGUACCGUUUGGCUCUGGCAGAAGACGUUGUGUUGGAAUGCAGUUAGGGAUUACUGUGGUACACUUUGUGUUGGCACAGCUUGUGCAUUGUUUUGAUUGGGAACUUCCAGAUAACAUGCUGCCAAAUGAGUUGGAUAUGACUGAGGAGUUUGGUCUAGUAGUUUCAAGGGCCAAGAAUCUGCUCGCUAUUCCCUCAUAUCGCCUUCAGAAUUGAUCAUGGAUGUUGUGGACUAGCUAUCUUUUCUGUUUUUUUUUUUUUUUUUUUCCUUUUUACUGUUUACAUUUGUUUUCUUCACUUGAUGAGGAGAACAAGCACUGGUAUAAAUUAAAUAAGUUUGUGUCAAAUUUUCAAUAAUGAAAAGUCGUGUAUUAAUGUGAAAUCCCGUCUCUAGAAUUUCAUUAUAUAAUUAUGUAUUUCAUUAUUUAAAUUCAUAUUUUGUAAUUAUGUGAUUUUUAUUUUAAAUCAAAUUUCGUUGAUUUUAGAGUUUUAUUUACUUAGUUACAAAGUUCGAAUUUUCAUAAGCAAUCAUUUAAAAAUCGUCAUUUAGUGUUCUCAAAUAGAGCUCAAUCCCACGAGGACGCAAGUGAAAGCCAUUCGAGAAUCAGAGCGAUAACGAAGAAGUUACAGACGUCGAAAGUUCAAUAUAAAUAAUAUAGAAACCCUAUUAUAAUAUAAUAUGUAGAUGGGUACAUGAAUAGUUCUUUACUAUUCAUCUGCAGAAAAAUCACAUGGAUUACUAUUUUUGCAAAGCAAUUUCCCUAUUCCUUAGAAGAAGCUUGUGUAAAGUAAAUGGUGUUGCUACAUUAUUUUAUUCGAUGAAAACCUCUAUGUAAGGAGGUUCAUUCGUUCAUUGCAAACAAAUGACUCCUAAUAUCAAAGAAGAAAGAAAGAGAGAGAAAGAAAAGAAGAGAGAUGUGGAGAAAUUACUAGUGAGCUGGGCUAGAGAGAAGAGAGAAAAUAGGGAGAGUUAUCAUUGUACUCCUAUUAUUUCAAAUAAUGAAAGAAAGAAUUACUGCUGCUCCUUGGAGGACGUAGGCAUACUUGCCGAAACUCAUAAACAUUGUGUCUUAUUAUUUUAUUCUGCCGCACAUAUCUUCAAUUUCACAACACAAGAAGCUCUCGUGUCAGUGAAAACACACAAAGCCAUAAACCCAGUGAAGCACUGUUUACCUCUAUCAGUUGAAACCUCACAGAUAAGAAAUUCUCUCAUUUUAUCCUCAUACUAAUCUUCUUAAACUAAGUAUAUAUCUUGUUAUAUAACUGUAUAUCAUUCUUUGCAGAAACAAAAAAGGUACAUACUUGAAAUUCGCUAAAAAAAAACAGUUGUGUUACGAACUUUGAAACUCCGAUUUCCUGUGCUCAAACAGAAAUUUUCCUUCCUAGAUCUUGUUCCUUAUCCUUUUUCCUAUAACACAUCAAAAUCUCAUAAAGAUCCAAUGGUUAAUUCAUUCCAGAUCUUAGAAAUACUAUUAUAGACCUGAAAUCUGCAAAAAAAUUGGCAGCUAGGUUAAUGGCAUUUAAACUCGAACUUCCCAAACUCGGAUUGAAACGUUUUCUUUAUUGGAGUUGUUCAUUACCCUCUUGUUGAUACUAUGCUAAAAUUUGGGUCAGAUCCAAUGGUUUGACAUAUGAUUUCAUUUUGUAGACAAUAAUCAAGUGAGACAGGCUUAACUGGUUCCCUUGUGUGAUUUUGAAACUCUAUGUUCUUGCCCAUAAUUGCCUUGUGUGAUUUUAGAGCUUAAAAGAAGGAUGGACUACGAACGGCUUGAUCCCGUUUGAGAGUACGUAGAUGGUCUAACAUACAGGUUAGAUGCAGCCUUGUGUACAGAAAAAGUUUUACACUAUUGACACAUUUUUCAUGUUUUGGUCAUGUCUCGGAGGCGAGGCAUGAAGGAUGAAAAAGUAUGUGGUGACUUCAUGUGUCGAUCCUAAACGUAGAUCAGGAUUAGGGUGUGACAAUGUAACAACCUUAACAACAUACUACACGAGCUCUUAUAAAAGGAAGUUGAUUUUUAACAUACCUUUUAACAUUUACACCCUUCUCUAUUUUUCGAUCAUCGAAUUGAAUAAAUCAAACAAAAACAAUGAACCUGAUGAAAUAAGAGUGAAUAGAAUAGAAAAAGGGCUCCUUACAAAAAACCAAAGAUGUGCCAUUACUAUUCCAAUUCACUUUAAUCACUUGUCCUGUAUAGAAAAAAAAGGUAAUCCUAGGUAAACAAAAAUUUUAGGUUAAAUUUGCAAAUCAAAUAAUGUGUCACCAAUAGGAAAUAAGCACGUUAAUCAAUACUUAACUAGUAAUCCAACCAUCAACAACCACAUCACUUAGUUUACAAAAUUUGGUUAAUCUGGUCUACCUAACAUUAUCCAUACAAAAAACCACGCAAUUGUUGAAUUAAGGUGCAGUUAGAUCCAUGUCCAAAAAUCCAAGUUGCUUUUUUAAAUUGAGUCUAAUUGUAACUAACUAUAUCAUAAGAAGGUUAAACAAACUUCCAAUCGAAACACAGUUAAGAUAGAAUUGAAUACAACUAAUUAUGAAGAGGCAGAUUACAAGAAAAAUAUAUCUAUAAUAUAGGUUAGUUAAAAACGAUUUAUCUGCGAUAUAGGCAGAUUAUCGACAAAAAUAAUCUAUAAUAGACGUAUUUUAAAUAAGUAAAGAGAUUGAUAAGUAAAAAGAUUGAAUGCAACAUGAUUGAAGGGAUUUAAUUCUAAUGAUUUAAGAUAUACAAUUCUAUAAAUUUUUUAAUUUUAUCACAAACUUAACAAAAAGAUAAUAGUCACUAGACCUAUUUUUCAAAAGGGAUCUUUUGAUAUAGGCACCUCAAUUUUGAAUUUUCUAGAUCAAACAUUAUAUUGUAAUAAUUUUGGUGCUAUAUGCACAUUAUAUUGUAACAAAUUUCCUAUAAUCUAGCCUUUUGAUUACACUCUCAUCUAUUAGAGAUAAUUGUUAAAAAAAAAAGUUGGUUGUCACAGCCCGUCGCGUGAUUCUUUUUAUCGAGGUUGUGAAAUGACGAAAUUAUCCUUGACGGGUGCUAAGGUAGGUGUGUGACAUAUUAUUGAACAAUGCAUUUUCCCUAAGUUUUGGAAAGUUUGAAUUUUGAUUAAAGGUUGUAUGUGUUUUGUGUGGUUAGGGAAAGAAGUUGGACUUGUUUUGGGAUGGACCACACACACACACGGGAUAACCUCACCCCGUGCUCUCUCUCUCUCUCAUCCUUCUCUGUCACUCUCUCUCUCCCCCUCUCGAAAUUGUACGGACCGACCCAAAAACCCUUGAAACUUCAUGGAUCGAAGUGGAGAUUAGCACCAUUGUGUUCGUGAGUGCCCUAUGAACUCAAAGGUACCAUUUUCAGGUAAGAAACCCUUCAUUUUCACGUUGAAAACUCAAGGUCCGAAUUGAGUACUAUUCAUGAACUUUGUAAUGGUUGGUUAGGACAAUCCAAGCUCAUAGUGAGCUCUAGAAAGUUCCCACGAAGCUCGAGGACGUUCGUUUGGAAGUUUUGGACGUCGGGACACCCUAGUUCGAAGGUGGCCGGUUUUGGUGAAGUUUCCUGACAUGAUUUUCGAAGGUUUUGAGGCUCCAAAGAGGUAUAGCCUUAUUCCCCUCGUGAUUUAGGACAUUUUGGUGAAAAUUUCAUGGAAAAUGGUUAAAAAUCGAGCGAGAAAAGGGCGAUUGCAGGUUUACCCAGUUUCCGACGCUAGCGAGUUUUUUCGGCGACUGGAGGUAGGGGAUGAUGUGCGUGGGGGCGCGUGGACCCGUGCCUGUCCCAGCGCAUGGGGGCGCGUGACAAGCCCAAAAAUUAUUUUAAAAAUAUGUCGAUGUCUGUGACGUCGAGUAGGUCACUUUGGUAUAUUCAUACACCCAAAUUGAGCACCGUAUGAGAAGUUAUUACGAAUUAUCGGUUAUGUGCUUUAAUUAACGUUUUUAUAGUUGUUUUGCAUAUAGGUGAUACCUAUCCCGAGGACGAGCGCAUCCAGGGACGUCACGGGGGUUACGACCCUUCAACUUACCAGUGAGUGGGCAGUAUUUUCUGUAUUUACCUAUAUACUAUUGAUUUUUCCCAAAAAUUGAAUUUAAAUGAAAGUAUGUUUUUAAAAGGCCAUGCAUGCAUAUUGUGAAUUAUAUGAAUUAGUAAUUGAUGCAUAUAUAUGUGAAAUGGUGUUGUGGACGCACAGGUGAGUAUCAGGUGAUUUUAUGUUAUUCAUGUGAAUCAUUGAUGAUGUGAAUUGUGUUGAGAGCUCAUAACCUGCACCCCUGGUGUUAGUGCUUAUAUUAUUCACCCGCACCGCACACUCACCUUGGAUCCAAGUAGGUGUACGUCGUAAAGACCAUGAGAGGGUUCCGACAUGCUAGUCGUACAGAUCACUAGAGGUGGUUCCGACUGGCAGGUGACCUUAGAUUAUGUGCACAGAUGAUUGAUGAGAGAGGCACUACAGCGUAUUAUUACACCAUUAUUGUCGUACAGACUACUUCAGGUAGUUUCGACUUAUGUGCAGAGUAGUGCCGUACAGGUCACCGUGGUGACUCUGGUUGGUUUGGAUAUUGAGCUAUGGAAUUAACCGUACCGGACCAACUGCAGGGUCUCCGGUGGAUUCAUUAUGUCACAUGUUAUAUUGAUGCAUUCUUAAUCUGUUAUUGACAUUUAUGGCAUGGCAUAUUUUCUGGGUUUUGAUAAAGAAUUGUGAUUUGAGAUAUACGAAGAUUAUAUGCAUAUUAUGUUAUUUUCUGGGAAAGUAUACAUGUUUUACAGCGAGGGAUUAGAAAUGUUUUAAAUGAAAUGUUUUUGAGAACUUUGGUUUUACUGACCCACUCAAUUUUGUUUUGCUCCACUCCAGGUUCUAGUUAGCAGCGUUGGUGGCCCACGAGGAUUCCUACGGCGUACUGACAGACUACAUAAAUGUAGGACUCACCUGCGAGUGUUGUAAUUUAGUUUUGGUCCUACUUGACUGCACCUAGUACUUGUGCUCUAAAUUUGUGUGUUUCACACUUAAACUUACUCUAGCACGUUACUUGGUUAUUAUUGCUAGUAUUUGGUUUUUGUUAUUCGUAUUUCUCUUAUCUUUUGCUUCCGCCUCGCACUUUUGGUUACGUCAUGCCCACGUGACGGCCAGCACGCCUUGAUUCUAGGAUCGGGGUGUGUCAUUGGUUAGAUUCAAUUUAUUUUUCACAAUAAUGCUACAAUUUAGCAAUAAUUAUCUACGAUUUAAGAUAUUUUCUUUCCAAAAUAAUUUAAAAUAUUUUAAAUCCCCCAAAAUCAAACGAACCGAAAUAAGUUUUUCUUUUAGUAUGUUAAGAGAAAAUAGGAUUUAGAAUAAUAUAAACGUACCAAUACACAAUGUGUACAAAUAUUAACAAUAUGUAUCAAAUCAAACGUACCAAAAUUGUAAAUAAACGUACCAAUUAAUAAUUUUUAUAAAUUCAAACGUACCCACAAAUAAUAUAUACGUAAUGUAUUGUACCCAAUAAUAAUUUGUCAACAACUAUACUUAAAAAAACAGCAAAAAAAAUUACACGGAGCUUUUAUGUUGAUCACCAACUAUUUGAAAAAGAAAAAACCAUUUCGAAAAAAGAAAUAAUAUUAAAUGUUUGCAGAACCAAAAAAAAAAAAAAAAAAAAAAAAAAAACUAUGAUCGAAAAAACAUAUUUGAAAGAAGAGAAAAUAUAGUUUAAGGGGUGUGCUAUUCACACACCUCAUUUUACUUCUCACACACCCCUUAAUAAUUUAUGUCCGUUGAUCUUCUUCAAUUCAUCCGAUCCGACGGUCGAAAAUUAAAAAGGUGUGUGAGAAGUAAAAUGGGAUGUGUGGAUAUCACAUACCUAGUUUAAUUACUAAUAUCUUCACUAAAUAAGGAAAAGUGCAUCAUGUAGAUAAAAUGAUGAAUUCAAAAAUUAUUUUAAUUUUAAAAAAUAAAGGUGAAUAUUAGUCAAAGCAUUUUAAUCAAAUUUUAAAAAGACAUAGAUGUUUAAUCUAAAUGAUAUAGAAAAACUAUAGAAGAUUCUAAGAACCUGUUUGGUACUCUAAUUGAAUCCAACUUUUUAAACUCAAAAAUAAUUUUCAAGCUUUAGGCCUUAAAAACUUGUUUGGUAGGACUAUUUUAAAAAACUGAACUCAAGACUAACUAAAAAAUAUAAUAUAUUCUUUAAAAACAUAAAAAGUAAGUUUUUAGAUUUUUUAAACUUAAAUUCACUCAUUUCUUUUCUCUCCCUCCUCCCUUCUCACUCCAAAUCUCUCUCUCUCUCUCUCUCUCUCUCUCUUUUCUUCUUUCUCUCUCCCCCUUGUCUUUGUUUUUUACAUUUUUCGUCUUUCUUCCAAUCCGCUCUCUUCAUUCUCUCAGUUCUAUCUCUCACUCCCCUUCCUCUCUAUCUCCUCUGAUCUUCUGUCUUCUUUCUCUUUCCUCCAAUCAUGUCUUACUUUCUUUCCUCCUCUUUCCUCUUUCUCCCUCUCCUGCGACCCUCUCGUUUUAGAUCUCUUUGUCUAGUUUAAGUUGUAAGAUUUAAAAAUUUUAAAUCGCAAACCAAUCAAGUUUUUGAGUCUUAAAGAAAAUUAUUUUCAAGAAAUGUUCUUAACAAAUGUUUUGUACAAUGAUAAAAAUUUUCAAAUAGGAGACCAAACAAACCCUAAUUUUUCCUUUUCAAAAAUAGACUAUUCUUAAUAAUAGCUCACAAAAUUAAAUUUGUCCCCAAAUUUGAUAUGGCAUUCAUGUCUCAGACAAUGACAGGUAAUGUGUGAUUUCAAAAUUCACAUACUACGUGUUUUUGUGGUUGUUGGAAUUUUAAAAGUAUACUGAAAAUGAUUGAAGCACCAUUCCAACUGUCACUACAAAGUGAAGGCGAUCAACAGAAGAAAUCUAAAUUUUCUUUUUAGUCAAUCACGUGUUUUUGUGGUCGUUGGAAUUUUAAAAGUAUACUGAAAAUGAUUGAAGCACCAUUCCGACUGUCACUACAAAGUGAGGGCGAUCAACAGAAGAAAUCUAAAUUUUUCUUUUUAGCCAACUAACCUUACAGUGACUUUUCUACCAUUGUCUUUCUACUUUCUCAACCAAUAAAUAACAAGGCGUCAUGGCAUGCAACAUGAAUUUUUUUUAAUGAAAUGGUCGCAGAGCGGCCUUAUAUUUUUUAUGUCUAAGAAAAAUUGGGCCGGCCGAGCUGACUAUAUGCCGAAUUUGUAAGGCCAUGACUCAACCCACUAGUCGCAAAAAAUUCGGGCCAAUGAGUGAGUUGCUCUGCUCGGUUCAAAUUUUAGCUCUUUAAUUAUUUUCAUUUAAAUGUAAAAAUAGUCAAGUUGUUGAUAAUUAAAUAUAAGACUUUUUGUACUUAAAAAAAAUAUAAGACUUUUUAAUUUUAUUAGUUCUCAUUUACCAUUCCAAAUAAGAUAUUUGUUUGGUUAAUAUAGUCAUUAAAUAAGUAUUGAAAAACAAAUAUUUCAGAUCACGAACUUUUUAUCCCAUCAAAACAACAAAACUUAAAAAACAAAAGGCGUGUACAAAUAACACCAAAUAAGCUUUUGGUCUUUGGAGUAAUAAUUUAAUGGGGUCUAAUAGUGUAUUGGAUGCGUUCAUUUGCCAAAAUGAGAAACAAUUUCAGGUAAAGAACUUUUCACCUCAUAAUUACAACACUCCAAAAACAAAAAACAUGUACAAAUGACACAAAAUAAAACUUUGGCUUUUUGAGUACUCAUUUUUUAUGGGUCUAAUGCGUAUUGGAUGUUUUCAGUUGCCAAACACUCAAAAAACAAAACACGUGUACAACUGACUCCAAAUAAGCUUUUGGCCAUUUGAUUACUCAUUUUAAGGGUCUAAUAGCAUAUUGGAUUGUUCAUUUUCCAAAAUGAGAAACAAUUUCGAAUCCCAUACUUUUGAAACAAUCAAUCCAACAUCACUUCAAAAACUAAAAAACGUCUACAAAUGACACCAAAAUAAGCUUCUAGCCUUAUGUGUACUUAAAUUACACCAAAUCAUAUCGGGUCGAGCCUAAGAAUAGAACCUAAAAUGCAAGGCCUAAGCCCUACCCCAUUUAUAAUCAGGCAGGCUAAAGCACGACCCUAAGACUGGGUUGAAAAAUUAGGGCUGGGCUAGCCUAUCAAGCCUCAUUCCUUUUUAUUAGUCUAUCUGAUACAGUCUUGGGUGUAUUCAAUUAUGAUUUUGAAGGAUUUUAAAACAGUUUACAAAUUCAGACAAUUUUAAAUGAAUUCAUGAAAGUUUAGGGGGUAUGCAAUCAAGAUUUUUAAAAGAGUAUAUAAACUCAAGGUAUAUUCAAUCAAAAAUUAAAUUUAAAGGAUUUUAAAAAUUAAACUAUUUUGAUAGAAUUAGAGGAAUUAAAAAAGAUUUUAGGCUUUAGUAAAUCAUGCAUGUCUCCUAAAAUUUUUAAUGAAUUUAUCUCAGGUUCACAUAGAGUCUAUUAAACUCUGUUAAACUUAAAGAAUUUGUAACUCUUUUUAAAUCCUUCAAAUUCUAAAUUGAAUACACUCAAGUUAGUAAGAUUAAUACCACUUGCUUUUGGAAAAAAAAAAAAAAAAAAAAAAAAAACUACUUGCCAAGCAAAAAUCUAGUCAUCAACUGUCGCAUCAUGUAGCUUUCAAAUAUGGUCUAAAAAAUGAUCUCCCUACCAUUUUUCUUUACAAAAUGCUCUUAAUUAUUUAACAGAGUAAAGCUUAAUGUGGAUUGGUGUCACAAGGGAAUGGUUAAUACCAUUGGUGCUAGUCGUUGUUGAAUAUUUUAAGAAUAUAUAUAUAUAUAUAUAUAUAUAUAUAUAUAUAUAUAUAUAUAUAUAUAUAUAUAUAUAUAUAUAUAUACAGCUGUUUGACUGACAGGGAAUGGGAUUGGGUUAUUGAUCCAAAAAACACAUCUCUUCAAUUUGAACAUGCAUCUUUUGAUUGUUGCCAAAAAGACAUGUUUCAUGAUCCUUCAGGUAAGAGGUGUUUUGUAUCAGAUAUGUCCAUUGGACAUACUGCUGCAAUGUGUUGUAUCCUAUGGUGAAAAGAUAAACUCAAAUCAAAGGAUGUGUCUAACGGAUGUAAUUCUCUCUAUAUAUGUUGGCACUAGUAGAAAAAAACACUUUGCGCGACGUACGUACAUUCGUCAAGCAAAGUCAAAAAUCGUUGCCUAAGGGUUUGCGCGAUGCAACCUUCGUCGUGCGCUAACCGUCGUGCCAAGGCAGUGAUGGUAGGAUUUGUGUGACAAAGAAAUAACAUGCGUCGCGCAAAGUGGCUUUGCGUGACGCACGGCCUACAUCGUGCAAAGAUACUUUGCGUGACGCACUUCCUACGUCGUGCAAAGCCACUUUGCGUGACGCGCGUCCUACGUCGUGCAAAGCCACUUUGCGCGACGUGCGUGCGUCGCGCAAAGUGACUUAAUGGCAAAAAUAUUUUUUAUUUACUUUUUAAUAAAUAUUGUAAUUAAAUUCUAAACAAUAAUUAAUAAACCAAGAAAAAAUAUUUAAUUAUAAAAUAUAUGAAAAUGUACAUACAAGAUGUCCGAACAAAAAUAGGAAAAACUACAAUAACUAUCUUCUAGGUUUGAUACAUCAAGCUACUGGGUAUCGGCUAGGCAAAGUGGCUGGGAGGUCAAAGAUGGAGCAAGAUCAAGUGCUAGCAUCAGGAUUUUGCUUGACAGUCUUCAUAGUUAGCGUGCUCAGCUCCAAGGCAUCAAGUAACUGCAAGAAAUUGUGAAGAUCAAAUAUCCUACACAACAGUGCUUAUUAUAUGAAAAGAAAGAUAACUACCUUUUCCAUCAGUGCUCCACCAAUCAACAUUAUGCAAAAUUUUCAAAUAAUCCUUUAUAGAUGGUGAAAAGAAUUCCGCUGCACUCUUCAAUUAUUCAUUCAUAGUUGCGGAUGGUAAACGUCUAAAAGAAAAUUUUGCUACAACAGCAUGUAAUCCUCUAUAGUUUGGUUUCCAAAAAUAAUAUUGCAGAAUCUGAUACCUAUUUCUGCUUUCAAAAACAACCUGGGAGGUGUUCGUGCAAAUAAUCCUACUACAAUGUUAUAUUUUUAAGAAAAUUACCUAUGAAAGUCUGUUGCCCAAUAGCACAAUAGAAGACACCUCACUAGCAGCUCCAACACCACCACCCAUGGCAAUUCCAACAUGCGAUGAAGCCAAUGCUGCAGCAUCCAUCACCAACCAUUGCUACGACGUUCUGAUCCUUCUGAAGUUCCAUUAUGAAAUUCUUCUUUUCCGUCGGUUUAACACCAGAUAUCACCUGCAACCCACAUCAUAGGCUAUACAAUUAAAUUCGAUAGAGAAAAGAAAAAAUGGGAUCCAGUUUGAUACCGGGCAACUAUUUGGGCAUCAGUUUCAAAUGAGUUUAGGGAUUGAGUAUUCUCACUCUUCUAUAAUGACGAAUGUGUUAGCAGCUGUGAUUAAGUUUAGGUUUCAAGUCUUGAGGUUUUUGUAUUAUAGGCUAGGUAUACAGAUUGUGGAUACCUUAUCCAAAAGUUGUAUUGUUUAUGAUAUUAUUAAAAAUCUUUUUCAUUUCAAAAAAUAAAUUAAAAUAAAGGAUAGAGGACAAGCUUUUGGUGUUCUGCUUGAAGUUGUUUCACGAUUUUUUACAUUUUUCCAAAUUGAUAAAAUUUUUGUUUCCCAUCAAAGAAAGAAGUAAUUAAGAACUCCUUGCCUUCUCUAUCGGAAUACCAACAGCAGACGCGAUGUACUCCGCGUUAUUGUUUUGUACCCAGAUAGCAUGUAUACAUCGAUCCUUGCUUAGAUAAAGAUUUAACAACUUGUCCAGCAUCUACCCUUAUCUGAUCCUCAAAAUAAAUGAGACCGGCAAGAGUACUAUCAAUGCCAACAUAUACAAUAGAUUGACUCGUAUGGGCUUCUACUUCUUCAAAUGGGUAACUCCAUGCCUGCAUAUAUUUAGUUUUUCAAUGGGACCUCAAUACAUGAUCCAAGAUUAAAUUAUUUGCCAUAUUAAGAAGGAAAAAAAAACAAAAGAUAUCUUAUUUGGAAGAUGAAAACAACUAAGCCUUUGGUUCCCAAAAUUAAUUUCCAUGGUAAGCAAAAUAGUCAAUCCAUCUUCUGGGGUCAUUUAAGAGUUCGGCAAACAAUCAAGAGUAACAUUUAGAAUUGGUCCAUGAACCAAAAAUCUGUUAAUUGAGAUCCCUAAAUUUAACAAAACAUGCGCCCUUGGUUGCCUUCAAUAUACCUUCAAUUCCCUAACACCAAAUGAGCCCUAAAAGUUUUCUAAGAUUCUACAUAUCUUUAAUGAAUCUCUAGGAUUUUCUUUUAAAGUCGUUUUGAUGCCAAAAACCUUUAGAAAAUAAGGCACACUUUUGUAAGCCAAAGUCAAAUUGGAGAAAGAAAUAAGCAUCUGUUGAAGUACCCCUAUAUCUUCUUAGUCUCUCUAAGCUGCUUCUGUUUUCUACAAAUUGUGCUACUUAUAGAACUUCAUUUGAGUGCUCCUGUAAGUUGAAUCUGUCAAGCAUUACUUCUCCAUGUACAUUGUUAUUUAUAUCCUAAGGAGUUAUCAUGAUCAUAGACAGCACUCUAUGUUGUCCUAUAUGAAUCUAAAUUUUCAAUAAUAGGAUUAUAAAUUCUCUUAACAAUGGUCCAGGGCCAAUGCCUAUCAGCAUUACACCUUUACAAGAAGCAAAUUCACAUUCAAAUAUGCAAUGAUACAAACUAUUAGAUUCCAUUAUACCCUGUAAUUACCUUUGAACCCAUUCCAAAGUCCCAACAGAAACCUUUUUGUUCUCAAUAGUUGCUACAGCACCAGAACCAGGUUCUUCCAAGAAUAUUCCAUCCGUAACCUGGAAUAAAGUGCACAGUUUAGGAUCUGAGCAUCAUGAUUUUUUCGGAACCUUAUCCAGCUGAUGCAUGCACUUAAUGAUAUAAUCCUCUUCUAGAACACCAAGGAUUUGUUCACAGAACUGCAGUCUUUCUUUUUCUUUGUAAGAGAUGAAGCUCACAUAGGGGAGAAAUUAAAAGCAGAACUCCAGCACCACUCUAUACAAAAAUCCAGCCCAGUUAAGACGAAGGCACACUAAAGGGACAUCCUCAAAGUGCUUAGACCAAAGAUUCCCAAACAGAUACAAUAUCUAGUUGUCCCAAAUAAAAUCCAUUAGCUAGAGAAAAUAUAACCUGUGAAUAGAGACAACCACAAGAAACACCUCACUCGGCAUAACUUGCAUACCGAUCCAUCCAAAGAUUCAUUGAUCAAGCGAUCGAUAAUUCCCUCUCUUUGAGAUUUCAAGUGAUGCACAAACUAAAGAUUCAUUGAACAAUCACAUCUGCUAUUACCUUAAAUCUUUCAUCUUUUCAAACUUGCACAAUUGAAAGAAAUUUCAUAUUUCUGUGCCCUGUGUGUGUAAGACAGAGAAAGAGAGAGAGAGAGAGUACCGUGAGAUGAAGUCGAAGUUGGGAGAGUAGCGAAGGGUUUCUGCACAUUAACCGGAGAGAUGGCGAAAGAGAGUUGCAGAUCGGCGAAAGAGAUGGCGAAUAUGUGUGAUUUAGGUUUCGAUUUUGUAAGAACAAUGAUUAUAAAGGGUAACACGCUACCAAAACCCACAGGUAAGAAACUCACAGAUUGAGCUAUCAAAAACAAAACAAAACCGACCCACAUGAAAAAAAUUAAAUCUAAUGGUAAUUAUCUCAUUCAACCCACAUCAAUCCGAGUCCCAUAAAACCCUAAUUUCAUAACCAUAACAGCGAAACCAGCACGAAACGACUGAUAUCAAAUCAAAACGACAGCAACCAUAUCCAGAAACAAAACAAAAAAUCUAAUCAGCAAUUACCAUCAAUCUAAUUAGACCGUAUACUUACAUGAACAAAAUCGAGCGGCGGUCGGAGAAACAAAUGGGCGAUUGGGCGGGAAAGCCUUGUGUGAGCUGAGCUGAGGAGGAGAGUCGGCUGGAGUGGAAGAGAUUAGGGUUUGGGUUGGGAAGAGAGAGAGGAUGAGGAUUGAAAGAAGAUGAGGAGGAAGGCUACGGGAGAAGAGAGACCGAGUGAGAGAGAGGGCCAGAUGAGCGAGAGACAGUUCGGGUCUCGGAAAUAUUUGUCCGGGAAAAUUAAAAAAAAACAACUUUAACGAAAAGCUCCCGGUACUGUUCACUCUAACGAAAAACUACAUUUUUACACUAAAAAAUCAAUCCUGAUACUAUUCACUUUACCCUUUAUUUUGUCCUUGUUAUUAAAACUCAAAGUUUUCAAACCUUUUUCAUUAGUUUUCCUUUUAAAAAAAAAAGCGCUUAAUUUUUACAUUUGCACCGCCAGAAUUAUCACUGGCGCGACGCAAGUAUACAUCUCAACGUCACGCAAAGUAUUUUUGCGUGAUGAUCACAUUGUGGCGUCACGCAAGGUAUUUUUUUUUUUAAAUAUUACAAAAUUUAUUGAAAAUGUGACUUUACUCCCUUCAAAAGUGGUUUGAACGAUCCAACCGUCAAACUUGUAUGUAUAUAUUUUGAGAUCGCAUACGCCAAAAAUCCCAAAAAAUAAACAUUCAGAGAUCAAGUAACGAGACAAAACUUUUCAACGGUUAUAAACGAAAAAAUUACGAUUUAACGGUUAUUUUAACUCCGAUUUUGAUAAUUUUUUACAGCUACACUCCUUGACCCUAUAUGAAUACAACGAACUGAUUCGAUCGUCAAUUUAAAAUAUUUACACAAGUGGUUACCACAAAAUCUUAUGUUAUACUUGAUGAAAGUAUAAAUAAAUUCCAAGUGUUAGGGAAUUUAUCGUUUUGAUGGGAUACGCAUUGUACAAAACUAAUUUCAAUGAUCCAACCAUCAAACUUGUUUGUAUAUACUUCGAUAUUGCAUACGCCAAAAAUCACAAAAAACAAACAUUCAGAGCUCAAGUAACGGGAUAAAACUUUUCGACGGUUAUAAACGAAAAAUCACGAUUUAACGGUAGUUUUAACUUCAAUUUUUUAACUUCAAUUUUGAUGAUUUUUUACAGCUACACUCUUUAACCCUAUAUGAAUACAACGAACUGAUUCGAUCGUCAAUUUAAAAUAUUUACACAAGUGGAUACCACAAAAUCGUAUGCUAUACUUGAUGAAAGUAUUAAUAAAUUCCAAGUGUUAGUGAAUCUAUCGUUUUGAUGGGAAACGCAUUGUACGAAACUAGUUCGAACGAUCCAACCGUCAAACUUGUUUUUAUUUGCUUCAAGAUCGCAAACGCCAAAAAUCGCAAAAAACAAACAUUCAGAGAUUAUGUAACAGGACAAACCUUUUUUACGGCUAUAAACGAAAAAACAUGAUUUAACGGUUAUUUUAACUCUGAUUUUGAUAAUUUUUUACAGCUACACUAUUUAACCUUAUAUGAAUACAAUGAACUAACUCGAUCGUUAAUUUAAAACAUUUACACAAGUGGAUACAACAAAAUCUUAUGUUAUAUUUAAUGAAAGUAUAAAUAAACUCCAAGUGUUAGUGAAUCUAUUGUUUUGAUGGGAUACGCAUUGUACGAAACUAGUUUCAACGAUCCAACUGUCAAACUUGUUUGUAUAUGCUUCGAGAUCGCAUACCAAAAAUCGCAAAAAAAAAACAUUCAAAUAUCAAGUUACAGGACAAACCUUUUCGACGGCUAUAAAUGAAAAAUCAUGAUUUAACGGUUAUUUUAACUCUGAUUUUGAUUUUUUUUUACAGCUACACUCUUUAACCCUAUAUGAAUACAAUGAACUAAUUCGAUCGUCAAUUUCAAACAUUUGCACAAGUGGAUACCACAAAAGAAAAAGGCAAUGCAAGAACCCCAAAAGAAAAGGAAAAGGGCAAAAAAAAAAAAAAAAAAAAAGGAACUUUGCGCGACGUAGGUACAACUGCGUUGCGCAAACCAUCUUUGCGCGAUGUAGUUGUACCUACGUUGCGCAAAGUCCUUUUUUUUUUUUUUUUUUUGCCCUUUUGCUUAUUGGUACAAAAUAAAUAAAUUAAAAUCUACUUAGUAAAUACAUAUACAAUUGAACUUGAUGGGAAACGCAUUGUACAAAAUUAGUUUCAAUGAUCCAACCGUCAAAUUUGUUUGUAUAUAUUUUGCGAUCGCGUACGCCAAAAAUCGCAAAAAAAAAAACAUUCAGAGAUUAAGUAACGGGACAAACCUUUUCGACGGUUAUAAAUGAAAAAUCAUGAUUUAACGGUUAUUUUAACUUCGAUUUUGAUGAUUUUUUACAGCUACACUCCUUGAUCCUAUAUGAAUACAACAAACAAAUUCGAUUGUCAAUUUGAAAUAUUUACACAAGUGGAUACCACAAAAUCUUAUGUUAUACUUAAUGAAAGUAUAAAUAAACUCUAAAUGUUAGUGAACUUAUCGUUUUGAUGGGAAAUGCAUUGUACGAAACUAGUUUGAACAAUCCAACCGUCAAACUUGUUUGUAUAUGCUUCGAGAUCGCAUAUGCCAAAAAUCGCAAAAAACAAACAUUCAGAUAUCAAGUAACGAGACAAACAUUUUCGACGACUAUAAAAGAAAAAUCAUGAUUUAACGGUUAUUUUAACUCUGAUUUUGAUGAUUUUUUAUAGUUACACUUUUUAAACCUAUAUGAAUACAAUGAACUAAUUCGAUCGUCAAUUUAAAACAUUUACACAAGUGCAUACCACAAAAGAAAAAGGCAAUGCAAGAACCCCAAAAAAGCAGGUGUUGCGUCGCACAAAACAGCUUUGCACGACAUAGAUACACAGCUUUGCGUGAUGCAACACCUACGUCGCGCAAACGUUUUUUUUUUUUUUUUUUGCCCUUUAUGAGUACAAAAUCUACUUAGUAAAUAUAUAUACCGUUGAACUUGAUAGGAAACACAUUGUACGAAAUUAGUUUCAACGAUCCAACCGUCAAACUUGUUUUUAUAUACUUCGAGAUCGCAUACACCAAAAAUCGUAAAAAGAAAAUAUUCAUAUCAAGUACCAGGACAAAACUUUUCAACGGUUAUAAACGAAAAAUCACGAUUUAAUGGUUAUUUUAACUCCGAUUUUGAUGAUUUUUCACAGCUACACUCCUUGACCCUAUAUAAAUACAACGAAUAGAUUCGAUCGUCAAUUUAAAAUAUUUACACAAGUGGAUACCACAAAAUCUUAUGUUAUAUUUAAUGAAAGUAUGAAUAAACUCUAAGUGUUAGUGAACCUAUCGUUUUGAUGGGAAACGCAUUGUACGGAACUAGUUUGAACGAUCCAACCGUCAAACUUGUUUGCAUCUGCUUCGAGAUCGCAAACGUCAAAAAUCGCAAAAAACAAACAUUUAGAGAUUAUGUAACGGGACAAACCUUUUUUACUGCUAUAAACGAAAAAUCAUGAUUUAAUGGUUAUUUUAACUCUGAUUUUGAUGAUUUUUUUACAGCUACACUCUUUAAACCUAUAUGAAUACAAUGAACUAAUUCGAUCGUCAAUUUAAAACAUUUACACAAGUAGAUACCACAAAAGAAAAAGGCAAUGCAAGAACCCCAAAAGAAAAGCAAAAGGAAAAAAAAAACCUUUGCACGACGUAGGUGUUGCGUCGUGCAAAAUAGCUUUGCACGACGUAGUUGCACCUACGUUGCGCAAAGCUGUUUAGCGUGACGCCAUCCUUCGUCGCGCAAAGGUCGUUUGCGUGAUGUUUUGUGUUUUGAGUCGCACAAACAUACUUUGCACAACAAAAUUUGCUCCGUCGCGCAAACAUGUUUUUCUACUAGUGUGGUGACAUUAGUAGAAAAUGAAUCUUUCAGAAAUUUGUUGUCUUCACAAUUUCAGAAAUUUAUUUCUACAUUCCUUUCUCUCUUUUUUCUCCAUCACAUUCUUACAAUUUCUUUCUAAUUAUUUCUAAGGGAAUAUAAUUCGGUUUUGCUAAUCGAAUAUUCCAUACUUUGUUGUAUCCUGAAAGUGAUUUGCCAAGAACCCUUUAGCAAACUCAUUCGAGUGGGGGCCAAUAACACUUUAAGGAAACGUUCAAGUCGUACCUCAAAGUCAUCAUUCGGAUUAUUCUCUAUAUUUCUACAUUUACUUUAACAAUCUUAAAGUGUUAUUUUCGUCAUGGAGAACAAAUCUGAUAACAUGACUUUGAAGAUUAUCAAUCAAGAUGUCUACAAGUUAGACAAAUUUGAUGGAUCAAAUUUCACUCGAUGGAAGGACAAGAUGCGUUUCAUGCUUACUGUUCUAAAUGUUAUAUAUGUUUUGGACCCGAAAUUGGAGCCUAUUUGUGAACCAAGUGACAAAGACUUGGACAAUAUAGUUGCCGAUCGAAAGAAGCGUGAAUAAAAUGAAUUGGUAUGUCGAGGACACAUCUUGGGCACAUUAUCUGAUCGCUUAUAUGACUUGUAUGCACACAUUCAAUCUCCAAAGGAAAUUUGGGAAGCACUUGAACACAAGUAUACAACGAAGAAAAGAGGUUCCGAUAAAAUUUUAAUGUUCAAAUAUUAUGAAUUCACUAUGUUUGAUAACAAACUCAUCCUAGACCAAGUUCAUGAAUUAUUGGUCUUGGUUUCAAAGCUUCGUGAACUUAAAAUAGUUAUUCCGAAUCCUUUGAUAGUUGGGGCUAUUAUGGCAAAAUUACCCCAAACAUGGAAUAACUAUAGAAAGAAACUUCUACACAUGGUGGAACAUAUUAGUUUUGAGGAUUUGCAAAAGGGUAUUCAAAUUGAAGAGGAAACUCGAAAUCGUGAUAAGAAUUUUGCAAAUCAAGAUUUCUCUAAAGUUUACAUUGUCGAAGGAAACAAAUAUAAAAAGAACUUCAAAGUCAAAAUUGACAAGGGGAAGUUUAAGAAGACCAAUUCCAACAACAAUCAAAAGAAUGCUAAUGGUGUCUGCUACCAUUGUGGAAAGAAAGCCCAUUACAUUUGUGAUUGUAGACACAAAAAAGCAAGUGAGGAAUAUGCCAAUAAGACCAAUAGGGCAAAUAUGGUUGAAAACUCUGGAAUCGAUAACAUUGUUGCAAUGGUAUCAAUGAUGCAUAUUGGCAUGAUUACCGAACUAAAUAUGGCAGCGGCAAUAAAAUUCUCCGAUUGGUGGCUCGACUCAGAGGCUACUAUACAGCGCAAUUCAAGACAUACGAAGCAUCAACGGACAAUCAAGAGGUUUUAAUGGGGAAUCAUAAUUCCGCCAAAGUUCUAGGAAAAUGAACCAUUGAACUUCAAUUUACUUCUGGGAAGAAAUUGACAUUGCUUAAUGUACUGCAUGUUCCAGAAAUUAAAAAGAAUCUUGUGUUUGCAAAUUUAUUAUGUAAGAACGGUAUAAAAACUGUUCUAGAGUCUGACAAGUUAAUAAUGUCGAAAAAUGGGAUGUUUGUUGGGAAUGGGUAUUCUUGUGAUGGGAUGUUCAAACUAAGUAUUAAUAAUAAAGUGAAUUCUUCUGCUUAUAUUGUUGAAUCUUCCUCUCAUUUAUGGCAUUUACGUUUAGCACAUAUAAAUUUUAGAUCUUUAAAAUACAUGCGCACAUUUGGUUUAAUUGCUUGCAAUGAUGAUUAUAAUGAUAAAUGUGAAAUAUGUAUUCAAGCGAAAAUGGCUAAGAAACCUUUUCCAAUUGCUGAAAGAAAUACAAAUUUAUUAGACUUAAUACAUUCUGACAUAUGUGAAUUCAAUGGUAUUUUAACAAGAGGAGGAAAAAGAUAUUUUAUCACAUUUAUGGAUGAUUGUUCUAAGUUCACUUGUGUUUAUUUAUUGUCUAAUAAAGAUGAAGCUUUUGAGUGUUUGAAUCGCUAUAAAGCUGAAGUUGAAAACCAAAAAGGAAGGAAAAUCAAAUGCCUUCGUAGUGAUAGAGGUGGUGAAUAUUUUUCAAAUGAAUUUGAUAUUUUUUUGUGAAGAGCAUGGUGUUAUACAUAAAAAAACUGCACUCUAUACACCACAACAAAAUGGUUUGGCAUAAAUGAUUAAUUCUAUGAUGAUUAAUGCUAAUACUCCAAAAUAUUUAUGGGGUGAAGCAUUGUUUACUGCAUGCCAUAUACACAAUAGAAUUACAUCUACGAAGACACAUGUGUCACCGUAUGAAAUUUGGAAAGGAAGAAAACCAAAUUUGUCUUAUUUGAGAGUAUGGGGUUGUGUAGCUUUUUAUAAGGCACUCGAUCCUAAGAGAUCCAAGUUGGGUCCAAGAGGAAUUAAAAGCAUAUUUGUAGGAUAUGCAGAAAAUUUAAAGGCAUAUAGGUUGUUUAAUUUAGACUCGAACACAAUAGUUGAGUCUAGAGAUGUCGAAUUUAUAGAAAAUAAAUUCUAUAAUGACUACUCAAUAUCUGGAAAAGAGAAUGAUCAAACACCUUUCUCUAAUCCAUCUACUAAUUCUUGGUGAUAAAAGAAAACAGUCUGAAGCUGUUAAUGAACCAAGGAAAAGCCAAAGGGUAAGAAAAGAAAAGACUCUAGGCUUUGAUUUUAUUUCAUCUCAAUCUAUUGUAUUUUUAGUCGAAGGAAAUAGAACAAAGAUUCUUAAGAAAAUACUCAUAUUGUUGAAUAUUGAGGAUGAUCCUAAAAGUCUAAGCGAAACAUUAACUUUAAAAGAUGCAGCCUUUUGGAAAGAGACUAUAGAUGAUGAAUUUGAAUCAUUAAUAUCUAAUCAGACAUGGGUUUUAGUAGACUUGCCUCAAGGAUCAAAAGCAAUAGGUUGUAAGUGGGUAUUUAGAAGAAAAUACAAUACAGACGGGUCUAUUCAGACAUUUAAAGCCAGGCUGGUUGCCAAAGGUUUUAAGCAGAAAAAAGGAAUAGACUAUUUCGAUAUAUAUGCACCAGUAGCUAGGCUCACAUCAAUUAGAAUAUUGUUUGCAUUGGCAUCUUUAUAUAAUUUGCAUGUGCAUCAAAUGGAUGUGAAAAACAACAUUUUUAAAUGGUGAUUUGGAUGAAGAAGUCUACAUGGAACAACUAGAAGGGUUUGUUCUCCCUAGGAAUGAAAAUAAAGUUUGUAAAUUAGUCAAGUCGUUAUAUGGAUUGAAGCAAGCACCAAAACAAUGGCAUGAAAAGUUUGAUACUGUCAUUUUAUCAUAUGGAUUUAGACAUAAUAAUGCUGAUAAAUGCAUAUACUCUAAAUUCACAAAUGAUUAUGGUGUGUUGUUAUAUGUUUAUAUACUAUCUUGGGAAUUAAAGUAAAGAAGCAUAAUAGAGGUUACGCUUUAUGUCAGUCACAUUAUAUAGAAAAAAAUACUUUUUAAGUUUAAGCAUCUACAAAUAAAAGAAGCAAAUACCACUUAUGACCCUAGUGAGACUUUGCUUAAUAAUUCUGGUAGGUCCAUUGCACAGCUUGAGUAUGCUAGUGUAAUUGAAAGUUUAAUGUAUGUCAUGCAUUGUACUAGGCCAGAUAUCGCAUUUGCAACAAGCAAAUUUUCUAGAUACACUAGUCAUCCAGGUACUGCUCAUUGGAAAGCAAUAAAUAGAAUCUUUGGUUAUCUUAAAAGAACUAUUAACCUGAGUUUAACUUACUAUGAGUUUCCAGCAAUAUUUGAAGGAUAUUCAAAUGCAAGUCAGAUAACAAGUGCUAAUGAUAAUAAGUCUACAUCAGGGUGAAUUUUUACAAUUGCCGGAGGAGCAAUUUCUUAGGCUUCAAAGAAGCAAACAUGUAUAACACAUUCAACUAUGGAAUCUGAAUUUAUAGCAUUAGCAGAAGCAUGUAAAGAAGCGGAAUGGAUUAGAAAUGUGUUAUUGGAAAUAGAGUUGUGGCUACAACCAAUGCCAUCCAUUUCUUUAUACUGUGAUAGUGAGGCUACUUUGUCUAGAGCAUACAAUAAGGUAUACAAUGGAAAGUCUAGACAUAUUAGCUUGAGACAUGAAUAUGUCAAGCAAUUAAUAACUGAUGGAGUUAUUAAUAUUGUUUAUGUUAAAUCAAGUAAUAACUUGGCGGAUCCGUUAACUAAAACACUUUCAGGAGCUUUGGUAGUUAGAACAUCUAGUGGAAUGGGGCUAAAACCCUUUACUGAAAAUUAGCCACCAAUAAUGGUAACCCGACUUUCUCUAGAACAUCACUAGUUUAAAAGUUUAAUGGGUAAUAACAAGUUAUUGAUAAGUGGUUGUGAAAGCACUGCAAAUUAAUAUAUAGCUCAUUCCAGGAUGAUCAGUGCAAGACUGCUACGUUUAGGAGGAUGAGUUUUAUCUCUUAAUGAGGUUAUUUGUAAUUAUGUCUAUAGUAGCAGGGACAUGGGAACGAACCUCACCUAUAUGAACAUAAGAAGUGGUGCCGCUUCUACCAAGUGUUGGGUUUUCUCUUGUAAAUGUUUAUGAAAUCAUGAUGAAGCACAAGGCCAUAAUAGUGCUUAAUUAGUUCUGAAAAUUCUUUAAGGAAAUAAGACAUAAUCAUGUGUGUAGCAAUUCCGGUUUUAACAUAAGAAUAGUUGGUUUAAACUUAGGUCACCAUCGCAUUCAUUACAACUUUGAAUUACUUACACUAAUUAAAGGUUUAAUUCGAAAGACACCUUUAUUGUAUGCAUGAUUAUAUCGGUAUGCUUGUGAUUAAUUGUACAGAGAGAAUUAUUAUUAUACCAUUUAUUAUAUAUUCUUAAAAUAGGGAAGGAUUGUUGAAUAUUUUAAGAAUAUAUAUAUGGGGCUGUUUGACUGACAGGGAAUAGGAUUGGGUUAUUGACCCAAAAAGCACAUCUCUUCAAUUUGAACAUGCAUUUUUUGAUUGUUGCCGAAAAGACAUGUUUCAUGAUCCUUUGGAUAAGAGGUGUUUUGUAUCAAAUAUGUCCAUUGGACAUACUGCUGCAAUGUGUUGUAUUCCAUAGUGAAAAGACAAACUCAAAUCAAAGGAUGUGUCUAACGGGUGUAAUUCUCUCUAUAUAUAUUGGUGACAUUAGUAGAAAAGGAAUCAUUCAGAAAUUUGUUGUCUACACAAUUUGAGAAAUUUAUUUCUACAUUCCUUGCUCUUUUCUUUCUCCAUCACAUUCAUAAUUUUUCUUUCUAAUUAUUUCUAAGGGAAUAUAAUUCGGUUUUGCUAAUCGAAUAUUCCAUAUUUUGUUGUAUCCUGGAAGUGAUUUGCCAAGAAUCCUUUAGCAAACUCAUUCGAGUGGGGGCAAAUAACACUUUAAGGAAACGAUUUAAGUCGUACCUCAAAGUCAUCAUUCGAAUUAUUUUCUAUAUUUCUACAUGUACUUGAACAAUCGUGUCCUCAGAAACUCAUAGGGUAUGGGUAUUUGGUUUUUAUGCUAAUCUUGGUCGAGGUGAGAUUCUACGUGCUGAAGUUUAGAGUGUUAUUGGGUUGCAACUUGUGUGGAAUAAUGAAAUUGUUACCAAAAAAGAAUAAAGAAAUUAAGAAGAUUAUGACCGAAUCGAAUUUUGCACUUGAAGUACAAUAAAUGUUAAAUGCAAAAGUGGAUAAGUACCCUCUGAAAGGUUAGUAAUUGACUUCUUGUGCUCUUAUGCAGUAGUUAUAGACUAUGAUUUUAAGAAAAUUUGACAAUAACGUAAGAUUUUUUGUUUUUUUUUUGUUUUUGUGGUUUUAACAUUAUAGAAAGCAUACUGAAAAUGAUUGAAGCACCAUUCCAACUGUGCGGGCCAUCUUUGGUAGCAGUCAACAAUAACCCUCUGAAAAGUUAGUAUGACUUCUUGUGCUCUUAUGCAGUAGUUAUUGACUAUGAUUUUAAGAAAAUUUGACAAGGACAUAAGAAGUUUUUUGGUUUUUGGUUUUUGUGUGGUUGUAGCAGUCUAGAAAGCAUACUGAAAAUGAUUGAAGCACCGCUCCAACUGUGCGGGCGAUCUUUGGUAGCAGUCAACAGAAGAAAGCCAAAGUUUCUUUAACGUCUACUUAGGACCUUGACAUUCUUUCAAUUUUUUUAUUGAACUCUGUUAAACUUUAUGAAUAUAUAACUCUUUUUAAAUCCUUGGAUUAAUACCACUUGCUUGGGAAAGAAAUUACUACUUGAUAAACUUUAUAUUUAUUGACCUCUUCUCACAACAUAAAUGAUUGAUUGAGCUUAUCCUGAUAAUAAAAAUUAGGGUAAAUAUCAGUUUACUACCAUCAUGUUUCGUGGUUUUCAACAUUUAGUACAUCAAGUUUUUUUGUCUCAGAGUCAUACCUAAAGUGUAAAUUUUGGGACAGUCUCAUACAUCCAUUAAUCAAACUGUUAAGUCUUCCGUUAAAUGAUGAUGUGGCACCCACGUGGACAAUGACUGGGCGCCACGUGUCAAUAAGGGUCCCACGUGGAUAUUAAAAAAAAAAUUAAAAAUUACAAAAAAAAAGGACUAUUCUUUCUCAACCCCGACCGUCCCUUCCUUCUCCCUCCCUUCUCGGCCUCCACCCAUAUGUGCAAAUCCAACCCUCUCCUUCCCUCAACCCCCGACCUUAACCCCACACUCAAUUUAAAUAAAUAAAAUAAAAAGUUUAUGGGCACCCUACCCCAACCCCCGACCCUCUCCCUUCCUUCUCUCUUUUGCUCACCCUCCUCCGCACGCCCACAGACCCACCCAUUUCCCUCAUUCUCCUUCCCUUCUCUCCUCUGCAGUCCACAAAGAUUUAUUGUUAGGAAGCCCAUUUACUGCUGUCAAGAUACCCAUAAAGCUCUGUCGCAAACCAGAGAAUUUGAAUCUCUUUUUCCCACACAAAAUUUUCAAAUCCCAAAAACAACUAUCUGAAAUUUCAAAAUUCAAAAAAGCUCACUGACUGGAAAGAGAAUUUGAAUCUCUAAAAGGAAAAGGCAACGGCGAAAAAUUCAUAAACUCCUUGUAAAAAUUUUGAACUUUUGAACUUUUGAAUUCAAUUCUAUUUUUUUCUCACCUUUGGGCUUAAUUUAUGUUUGGCUACAAAGAAAAUGGCGUUGAGCAUGAUGCACCAGAUCAGCGCGCUCUCCGGGACUCCAAUUAAGACGACCGAAGCCAGCUCAUCAUCCGUAGAAUUGGUUAGCGUGUCUCCAAUGUGGAAGUCUCCGACAGCGGGUCUGACUUGCAAAAUUCAGAAGCCAGAAAGGUUUGACAGGCUGUCGCCGCUGUUGAGUCCGUGCAGAUCGCUGGUUCUCGGGUCUAGCCAGCCGAAUCUGUCCAUGGCGUGCAGGGCGUUCGCGACGGAGGCAGAAUCAUCAGUGUUUGAGCACCAGGUGAGGGGUACGCACGAUAAGGGGACGGGAGUGCUGGUUUACGUGAUGAUGCUGUUCGAUAACAUGAUGAUGCACAACUCGGUGAAUCGGAAAAAGGCGAUGAACGCGAGUUUGCAGGCGCUGCAGAGCGCUGGGGUGAAUGGUGUGAUGAUGGACAUGUGGUGAGGGUUGGGAGGGAGAAAGAGAGAGGGGGUUGGGAGGGAGUGAGGGGUUGAACACCCAUAAUUUUUUUUAAUAUUCACGUGGGCCCUAUAUUGACACGUGGCGCUCAGUCAUUGUCCACGUGGGCGCUAUGUCAUCAUUUAACGGAAAACUUAACAGUUUGACUAACGAAUAUAUGAGACUGUCCCAAAAUUUACACUUCAGGUAUGACUCUGAGACGAAAAAAACUUGAUGUACCAAAUGUUGAAAACCAUAAAACUUAAGGGUAGUAAACUGAGAUUUACCCUUAAAAUUAUUUUAUGAGCUCAACAAAAUUGUACCAAGCACCCCAUGAACAAACGCCUUCAUAAAACCUUCCUAAAUGUGUCUUAGAGCAUCUCCAAGAGAAAUUAUUGUUAAACUAGCAAGGGAACAAUGCCAAAAAACUAUUUUAACUACUCAGUUUAACUUUUCAUUUCUAACGAUCCUCUAUUUUAGCUACCCAAUUCAACUUAUGAACAGUAAUGGUAUUUGUUUGGCUGCGGACAGGGUUUUUGUGGAUGGGAUUCGGGCUUUGAUUAAGCGCACUAGAUUACAGUUGUCUAUGUACGAACGGAAGCUAAUUUUGUGACACAUGGAUUGCCUCGUUAUAGUGUACAAUGUCGUGAGUCAUCGUUUUGGGUUGAAACGAGACCUCCAUGGCUAUUGCGUAGUGUCAUGGUUGAGUCCAGGGUUGGAGUUCAUUUGUACUGUGCAUGUAUGCUCUCUUUUUCCUUGGCCAAGGUUUAUCCCACUGGUUUACUCGGUCAAGGUUUUUUCCAAGACCCUUCUGAUUUAUAUGCGGUUGGUGUAAUUGUUAUGAUGUUGAUGUUGAAUGAAUUAUCCUUCUUCUAAAAAAAAAAUAAAUAAAUAAACAACAUCGUUCUAUUUUAACAAGCUUUGAAUAUUUUAUUGUUAACAAUUCAUACUAAACCCACUCAUUUUGUAAAACAACAUUCUCUCUCUUCCUUUUAUCCUUGCUCUACACUUGAGUUUUAUUAUUAUUUUUUAAUAUUUGCAAGUGAGUUGUUACACUCUAAAUUUAAAGAGAGACUGUUCAUUUUGUUAUGGUAAAGACUCCUUUACAUCAUCUCAUGGAGAUGAGUUAUCUUAAUUUUUUUUUAAAUUUAACUCUUUAAAAUAGAAUUUUGGUUGUUUUACAGAAGGUUGAUCUGGGGGAGAGAUAGGAAAUCUUCGCCUAUAGCUUGGAGCGAAGUGUGUAAUUCAAAGGACCAAGGGGGAUUAAGUAUUAGAAGAGUGGAUCAUUUCAAUAAUGUUUGUCUUGCUAUUAGGUUGGAAAGUUUUAAGGGAUGAGAAUAAUUGAUGGGUCCAAGUUGUGAAAAGGAAAUACUUAAAAAAGUCUGAUUUCCUAGGUUGCAAGAUUAAGCAAAAUCACUGUGGCUUGGAAAGGCAUUUUAAUUAAUAGACACAUUAUUCACAUGAGAAUUAGGUGGGUGGUGGGUAAUGGUAAAGAUAUCAUUUUUUUGACCCAUAAAUGGGUUUUUUCCUUACCCAAUAUUCCAUCUUAUUCCGGUAAGUCAAGGGCAAAAUAGUAAUCCGAAAAUUAAAGUUAGUGAUUUUAUUGAUAAUAAGAGUUGGCACAGGGAUAAACUCUUGCAAGUUCUGGAUGUGGAUACUGUGAGAAAAAUUUGUUUGGUGUCUAUUCCCUUGCAAGAUAAGGAGGAUUACUUUAUUUAGGACCACUCCUCUUCUGAUGAGCUUUCAAUAGUCAGCCACUUGGAUCCAGAGCAAUAAAAACCAAGAAGUGAAUCGGCAAAAGCUCCUUAAGAGGAUGUGGAAGUUAAUUAUCCCGCAUAUUGUAACAAUUUUUGCUUGCCUUCUUAUUCAUGGUAAAUUGAACACUAGGGUGAGGUUAAGUAAAUAUAUUCAAAAUAUGGAUAAAUCGUGUCCUUUGUGUGGAAAGGAUGAUGAGACUCAAAAUCAUCUCUUUCUUAAUUGUGUGUUUGCAAAAGAAAUGUGGAACUGUUCGUUGCUGAAUCCUUGGUUGAAUAAUACCGUUUUGUUGAACGAUAUCUUGGAUUGGUUGGAAUCUAUUAAUAGUGUCAAGUGCAAUAGUUUGAGUGAGCUUAGUAAAGCCCCUUUGAAAUUGCAAAUUUGGAAUGAUAGAAAUAACAAAGUGUUUCGAAUUAUAAUCCUCGUCCUUCCAGGCGCAUUGCAAUUCCAGCUAGAGUUGGUUUAUCCUAUUUUGAGGCUAAUUUAAUAAAAAAAAAACCUCUAACAGUAGCCAGUGUCAUUGAUAAAUUGUUUGUUGGCGUCCUCCCACGCAUGGCUUUUUAAAAUUGGACCUGGCUCAUCUGCCCUCCUACUUCUCAUAUACUCUUAUCUUUUCCUAUUUAUGCGGUCAUGGUUAAGUCACGUCAACAUUUUAUAUUACUAUUGUUUUUUGUCUUAUUAUCUCUAUAAAAAAUCAAUAUAAAAUAUUGACAUGGCUUAACCGUGAUCGCACAAAAUAGGAGGGAAUGAGAGUGUAUGGAAAGUGGGAGGACAGAGAAGCCGGGUCCUUUAAAAUUAAAAUUAGACAGAUCGGUUUGUCAGGAGAAAGCUGCAACAACGUUUGUUCUUAGAGAUGAGGAUGGUCAACCUAUUGGGCUGGUGCUUUGGAUCUUGGUAGUGUCAUUUCUGUUGCAGAGGUUUUUGUGUUAAAAGAUGGUCGUUUGCCAGGCGCAAAUAGGGAUGGUAAUGGUUCAGUUUGAGGACGGAAAUGUCAUAUAUAUCCCAAUUAUCACGAAAAUUAACGAUAUUCAUAACUGGAAAUGAACCAUCAGUUAUUAUCCAUAAUCAUACCCACCGGGUAACGGAUUUCACAUCGGUUAACGGUUAUAUCCAUCUUUGUCAAUAGAAAAAAUAUAUUCGUUCAAUUGACACAUUAUAAUUUAGUAAAAAUUAAUUUUGUCAUUAAAUAUUUGAUGUAUAAAAUAAUUGAAUGAAUUAAUCUUAUGGAGUAUAAAAAUUAAAGCUAAACAUUGAUGAUGUUUGUUGAUCUUUGAUAUCUUCCAUAAGUACCAUAGAAUUCAGAUUGAUUUUGAUUAUAUCAAAACUUUUGAACUUUCUCACAAAAUGUAACUCACACAAUGCAACUUUUGUAUUCUCAAAGUAAUAGAAUCGGUGAAUAAUGAAUAUCUAUACAUAUAUAUGUGUGUGCGUGUGUGUGAAUAUAUAUUUAUAUUUUAUAUAUAUAUAUAUAUAUAUAUAUAUAUAUAUUUGUUAGAUUAAGGAACUGACGGAGUUUGCACCCACGUCGUGGUGUAAGGGCAACUCUCCUCCCCACCACUGUGGUAGGCCACUUGCUUAUAUUAUAUUAUAUAUAAUUAUAUAUCAAUUAGUCAGUUUGGAUUGGGGACCCUUAUAACUAUAUCCAAACCAUAAUUGAAUAACAUUCACGAUUUUUUUCCAUAUCCAUAAUAUACUCGAAUUUUCAUACUCAAAUCCAAUCCAUCCAGACAGUUAUCCACAGUUUUCGGAAUUAAUGUUAGAAUUGCCAUCCCUAGGCGCAAAGAUGUGGAGAAGCUAGAGGUGGGAGGGGAUUAUGUAUUGAUCAUUUAGUUGGUGUGGGGGCCUGUGGAAGCCCCCAUGGCAUCUCUCACCGAUUAUUAAAGAUUAUUAAACGACUGGCGGUAGCCUUUCAGAUGAUUUGCUGGCAUCAUAUUUUUAGGGAGGCAAACUUUGUUGCAAACAAGUUAGCUCAUGUGGGCCUUUCAGUGGCCAAUCCUUAUUUUUGGAAUUAUUGUUUACUAGCCUCGGCCAUGGAAGCUUUUAAUUUAUUUUAUUUUUCGAACAAACAAUAAAGCAUAUUGCAAUCUUGCUCCAAUGGAAGCUCGAAAUUUUGUGUCACGCCCUAGAUCUGGGAUCGGUAGAAUAAUGAACCAUGCACCCGCUAGUCGAAUACAAAUAAAAAUAAAUAAAAAGAAAAGAUGAUAGGGGUGAAAAUAAAUACAAGGCUAAAAUAAAUAAGUACAAAAUUCAAUCCUCACACUUAAUACAUCUCAUCCUAUCUACCCUUUUUGAUUGUUUAGUUCAUAAGCCUGCACAACAAUAGGGGGUGAGCUUUAACAGCUCAGUAGAGACAUAACCUUAUCACACUAAAUUGACAAUACUAAAUUAAGUGUCUUGAAAUCAUAUAACCAAAUAUCACAUUAUUAGCAAUAACAACGCAUGAGUGCAAUGCAAACUCUUUGACUAUUCCCGUUAAUUCAUAUAAUAAAACAAGCGGACUUGCACAUCGCAUAUAGUGCAUUUUACCAUUGCGGUGGUAGUUCAAAUGUUCUAUUAUACAAAUUAACCCCCUGUAGCUCAGCCAUCCCAAUUUCCCCUUUUGUUAGUCGUCUUGCCAAAACUCUUCGUCGCCAAUCUCGAAUUACCAGAAAAGAAACUGUGCACUAUGGGCUCGCCUGAGACCUAGUACCUACUAAGAGUUUGGCUCAACAACACAAAAGAUCCUUUCCAUUACCCCCCUUUUCCGUAAUUCAUUUCUCAACACUAAAAGUUCCAACCACAGAUCACAAAUACUUUAAUUUCAUCAUUCCUAUAUACCACAAUAUAUUGUCAACCAGGAGUAAUUCCAUAGUCAAUAACAAACAGACAUCCAACGAAACAAUGAUGUACACAUAUCCAAGUAACACUCAACAAGAGUAAUCAACCAAUGAGAUCAACAAUAAUAUAGAAUUUCACAAAAUUUAAUAUAAUCAAUCUCUGUAAAGGUCUGCCGUAUUUUCCCUACCUAGAUACCAAAGCAAGCAUAACUCGAACUCAUUGUCCACCACUGUGACCAACUCCUACUCACAAUUACAAGCCAUCACUAAGAAGCUUGACAUUCAUCCUCACCGAUCUAGUCAAAUAACUUGGUAUUACUAAUUGAACACCAAUAAAUUCAAAUAUCAUUUGGGUUGUCUAGAUAACAUAAGUUUUGAAUAUAAAUCUCUUUGGAAAAUAGGUGCAUAUGUAUAUAGCUCACUGUAAUACCAAUACAUCAACCAAACACUAACUUUUCUAGUUGUAUAAAAGCUUUAUCAUAUGUAAUCUGAGUAAUCACUUCCAACUCUAAAACAUAUAUGUUUUAUUUCAAAUAUAGCUGAAAACAUAUGUAGUAGACAUAUAUGUUUGGAAGUUGUGAAAACUGGUUUGGUUAAUUAGUUCAAGCAUAUACAUACACUUAUUACAACAAAAUGACAAACUGAUAACAUACACACACACACACACACAUAACCUUUUGUACAUCAGCUUUUAUAGCAGAGCAGCCAAACCAAAUUGAUAAACUGAGGACACACAUAUAGCUGUUUGCACAACAACUUUUAUAAUUAAACAUGCAGUAGAAAAGGAUACCCAAAUAAGCAUAUCAACAUUUAUACUUGAUUAAACCUUAAAUUACCUUCAGUGUAAGCCUCUAUAUCACUAUAACUCUCAAUAACAAUCUCAAAAGAAAUAACCAUGAAAGGUGUUGGAGUUUUUUUUAGUAGAAAUAUCAUUCUAGCUCAUUGUCCCACAUUCCCUCACUUUAUACGACUUUGUCCUUAUUACAAAGUGAUUAAAGUGAUAGACCAUGGAGAGCAAACUUGGGCUCAACCUUGGGUUUGGGCUUUAAGAUGUGAUAAUUAAUUAAUAAUUAAUAUAUAUUAAUUAUAAAAAGAUGGGCCUUGGGGCUCGGGCUCUAAUAAUUAAAUUCAAUAAUUAAUUUUUUAGUUUAUUAAAUUAAUUUCAGAUUUAAUUAAUCUUUUUAUUUUUCAACAAACUCAUCUUUUCAAAUGAAGUCUGAGAGCAUUGAGAACGUAUGAAUAAGUCUGAGAAAAAUGUGGAGUAACACACCCUUUGCGUUGAACAGCAACCUCCCAAAAACAUGUCUGCUGCGAACAGGCAUAUGAUCGCUAUAAAUACAUGCAUCUGCAUAUCAUUCAUCCCACUGAAAACCAUCAAUCCAUACAUACAAAAUAUAAUGAGAGUACCACAAAGAUAUUCACCAGAAAUCUAGUUUUCCAGUGCUGGAAUCUCGACUUAGAUUGUUAAAUCCUAGUGAAGCAGACAUCCAUCGAACUACAAGCACAAAGUAGGGACGAAAUUAUAUUUCAAGGACAUUGCGGUACACAAAUCUCGAUCUUCAGUUUCUCCAAUUAAUAUUAAAUUUCGUUUGAUUUAUACUCUACUCAAAUAUUUAUUUGCACUUAUUAUUUGUUAGCAUAUAUAAAUUUAUCAUUGAUUGUUGAUAUUUAUCCAACAAUCUUGAAACAGAAUUAUGGAUCAACAAUCUAUGAAUGUGAAUGGCACUAUGCCGAAAUACUCUGAGAAACUUGAGAAAUUCAAAGGGCUGAAUUUCAAAAGAUGGCAACAAAAGAUGUUGUUUUUCCUGACAACCAUGAAUCUUGCUCAUGUUGUCAAGGAAGAGGCUCUGAAGUCUAAUGAGAAUCCAAUGACGAAAAAGAUUGUCAUGGCAAUUGAAGCUUGGAAUUAUUCUGAGUUUUGUUGCAGGAAUUAUAUUCUGAAUAGUUUGGAUGGCAAUCUCUACCACAUUUCUUCUAUGUGCAAGACUGCAAAGGAGUUGUGGGAAUCUCUGGAGAAAAAGUAUAAGAUUAAUGAUGCCGGUUCAAAGAAAUUUGUGAUCAGUAAGUUCCUUAAAUAUACUGAUGGAUUCAAAAUCUGUUGUCUCUCAGGUCGACAAAACCAGAAAUUGAUCUAUGAAUUGCACUCCGAGGGAUAUGAGAUCAAUGAGCAUUUCCAAGUUCGGGCUAUAAUCGAGAAACUGCCAACUUCUUGGAAUGAUUUCAAAAUUUAUCUUCAGCACAAACGUCGUGAGAUGAAUAUGGAGGAUUUGAUUCUUAGGCUACGAGUGAAAGAGGACUACAGAAAGACAGACCGUCCUGGUAACUUUGCUGCCAUUGAAGCCAUGCAAAUUAUGUUGAGGGAGGAAACUCUAAGGCCAAGUCUAGGAAGAAUAAGGCUCAGAAACCCAACCAGUUUGCACAAUCUGCCUUUUUUAUGUUUGACUUAUCUAUGCAAACCAUUUGAAAAUUAAUUGCAAAAUUUCCUCGGCCAUUAUCACAAACUGAUCCUGAUCACCAUCAUCCACCUGCUGCACUAUUUCACUUUUAUCCAAUGCACGCAUCACUGUUCUAAAAAUCACUGCCUAGCGUUGCCUAGGCGUUAGGCGGUUGGCCACUAUCCCUAUUAAUGCCUAGUCGUUUGAAAAUUAAGAAAUGCUGCCUAGACCUCCUAGGCACCCGCCUAGCUUGCGACUCACUUAGACAGAAAAUAGAUAACUCUCAUUUUGCGUUUUAUUUUUUUCAAUAAAUUAUAAGAGACUUGUUGAAUACUUAAAUGAACACACAUUAUAUGCUUGUUCCCUAUAUGUUUUCAUUAUAUUCCAAUACUUCAUAAUAUAUAUAUAUAUAUAUAUAUAUAUAUAUAUAUAUCAUUCUAUUUUGUAGUUUAUGAUGAAAUUAUAUAUAUAUAUAUAUAUUAAGUAUAAACAAACACUUAUUUAUACGAAAUAUAAUAGAUUUACUUAAAUCUACCUAGCCCCUCCCCUCUGGCCUAGCCCCUCCCAGCUUGCUGCCCGACCAGCACCUAGCGUCUUUUCGAACCUUGGCACACAUUGAUUGUAAAUGAAAUUAAUCCAUUCAUAGGUUGUAUUGCCGCGUGAUUCGUACCAAACAUCCCAAACUCAUUUGAAAUGUACUUCCAAGUUGGAGAUAUGGUUUGCAUCUCGCUUAUCUUGUACUAGAAAAUAUCAAGAUAAUUUAUUAUUAAAAAAUAAUUAUUAUGAUUGAAAACCACAAUAUUAUACCUUAAUAAUGACAAAAUUAUCUUAGCUUUCCAUCCAACAGUAAAACUUUGAUCAUUCAACGACCUAGAACUUUGCUCUAGCCAAUGAUGUAAAAUGGGGUAUAAACGGAUUAAUCAGGACUGUUGGAUCAUACAUCUCUCUGAAUGAGUUGCAUAAAUUAAAAGUGUUUACAAUUUUCUUGGGAUAAAAGAGAAAAUCUUGAGAUAAUUGGUAUUCCGGAAAUAAGAGCCAAGUAAUUGGUAUAUGAGUUAGUUAUCUUUGUGGUAGCAAAAUUUUGCCGUCUUCAGUAUUAACAAAACUAUACCUACAAAACAAUAAACACCUUCGAUCAAGGCCAAAGCCUCACGUGACGACAAGGUGGGUGGAUGAUUUGGCUAAUGGAUCUAUGAUGCCUAAGUGAGUUUCUCUGAAAAGAUGGAGUGUUUAGGGCUUAAGUGAUCAGCAAAAACUUACCAGAAAUUGGUGGAUAUAAUGUACUUAUAAGGAGGUGGACGGCCUAGAUGUAUGGUUUUACCUUACGUGGUGGCUUUCCAUUGGCCAAGAUGAGUCCUUUGACUUUUCUUCCUUGCCACGAGCUGGGAAGGUUGGUGACGUUGUAAUCUGCUACCCAAGCCUCUAAGAAUGUUGGACUGCGUGUGAGAAAAUUUGUGGGUCCUGCCCAUUUAAUGAGGGCAUUAUUGUCUUCUUUGCAAAAAUCUCGUGUGUUGUCUCUAGGAUUUUUGAAUUACUUUUGGCUCCACAAUUUUCAUAGUCUAUUCAUUCUGCCCAAGUGGCUGGUAUUUGUAGUUAUUGGAUACCUUAUGUGUUUCUUGAAUUCCUAAUCUGUCAAAGUUUCCACUCUCAAACUAAACAAUGUCUAGGUCCAAACAAUAUGUCCCAACAAUGUGGCCUGAGUGGAUGUAGCAUGAGCGGAGAGAGAGAAAACCAUAGUCAAGUUAGAAACUCAAGCCAAUAGAUAACAUAUUUUGUACCUGUAAACCCCGUAAUUUGUAAAAUGAGUCGAUUAUUUAGGACUAAUUCAUCUCCCAGUACUAGCUCUGGAUCUAGCUUAAAUAAGAUCCCAAACACAGUUAAUGAGGAGCAAAAAUUAGAGCUUCAGUAAGAUGAAAAUGUCGAGUUUCUUUGAUUGAAAUAUCCCCAAUGUAUCUAGUAAAGAAAUUAUAAGAAGAGAUGGUCAAUUUCAGCAUUUAAAAGUGAACAUCAUGUUAAAAACGGUCAAGCAAGCUUACGUUGUUAGUAAAGAACAUGAAACAUGUAAGUUAUCAGGGCUGACCCUAACCCAAUGCAAACAGGGCUCAUCUCCGGGACCCAAAAUUAAAAGGGGCACCAAAUACUUUUUUUUUUUUUAACAUAUGUAUAGGUAUUUUAAAAAAAUUCUGGUACAGUGAACCCCCGAAUUCAAGUCUCCGUUCUUCGUCGACGCUUCGAAAACUCGGUCUUUAAUAUGGCAUUCCAAGGACCAAAUUCCAACCCUUCUAUUAAUUCAAGGAUCCUUUAAAUUCUCAACCGACUUGGCUUCAAAUUCCAGAAUUUUGAAUCAAUUACCUUAUUUCCCUGCUUGAGUUGUGCCUCUGAGUCUCUGCCAUCCUGUGAUCCCAUCCUCCGUCCACUCCACAUCCUGAGGUUUUCCAGUUCCCAUCCCACCACUCUAGUCGUUGUGGCAGACGGCCUAGAAGCAAAUUUGAGGGUUGAGGUGUUGAGUAGAGUCAUAAGUCCCACUUUGACUCCCAUUUGAGCAGUUGGCCAGAGUGACAGAGCCCACUUUUUAUUCUUUUUUUUAAUUGAUUUUUGUUUAGUUUUUCAUAAAAAAAAAUUCAACUUAAUUUUGCUUUUUUUUUUUUUAAAUUUUACCAAUUAGUUUGCUUUUUACAAAUUAGCUAAUUUUGUAUUUGUAAGAUCCCACAUUGACCUACGAAGAGGGGGUGAUGUGCCUUAUAUGUACAUGCUCCCCUCCCUAUAGUACGAGGCCUUUUGCGAACUCAUUGGCUUCGGAUUCCAUCGGAACUCUGUAAUUAAGCGAGUUCAGGCGAGAGCAAUCCUAUGAUGGGUGACCCACUGGAUGGGUGACCCACUGGGAAGUUCUCAGAAACAAAAUUGUGAGGGAAUGGUAAGCCUAGAGCGGACAAUAUUGUGCUACGGUGGGGUCGAGACUGGGAUGUGACAAUUUGGUAUCAAAACCACUCUGCCGUUCGGUGCGGAUAUGCUGGCGAGGACGCCAAGUUCCCUUUAAGUGGGGUGGAUUGGAAGAUCUCACAUCGACCAACAUAGAGGGGGUGAUGUGCCUUAUAUGUACAUGCUCCCCUCCCUAUAUUACGAGGCUGCAAAGUACAACAACCGUGUGUCGUAUCAAGACUGCAAAAGUACCAAAGUUAGAGUGGCGACUGGCAAGUAAGUAAUUUUUAUAAUAUAUGUUGCCUUAUAUGUACAUGCUCCACUCCCUAUAGUACGAGGCUGCAAAGUACAACAAUCGUGUGUCGUAUCAAGAUUGCAAAAGUACCAAAGUUAGAGUGGCGACUGGCAAGUAAGUAAUUUUUAUAAUAUAUGUUGAAACUUUAAUUGAUAUGAUGUUUGUUGCUAAAUUUUUAUAAUAUUAUCGAUGAGGUUGAAGACUUGAUGGUUUGUUAAAGGUUAAAAUUUCAAAGAGUUUUGCUUGGAUUGGUUGUAUAUGACUUUGCUUUUAAUUGUCGGGGUUUAUGUACUAUGUCUUCCUGUUGUAUUUUUUUUUUUUAAGUAAUAUAAUAUGGGCGUGAGGGCCUAGCCCCCUCAGCUUUGACUGGGUUCCAGCCCUCUUUAAAUUUUUUUUUUAAUAUAUGUUUGUAUUGACCCUAACAACUACCUAGCCUAUGUGGCGCGUAGGCCGAGUAAUUAAUAUGUUAACUACGUUCUUUGGUUGAAUGCGGGGCGUGUCAACUUGUUGGUUGAGUUCGACUGGGAGUAAAAUAUGUUGAUGUGGUGCUGGCUGCGCUGCUGAUUCCUUGAUCUCGCAACUGCAACCAAGGAAGGAACAUGUCAGGGCCUUCGGGUUCUAGAGCCUGAGGACAAAGCUGCUAGUUAUGUGAAGUUCAAUAUCAAAUUCGGCUUUCAGUGUGCCGAAUGUAGUAACCUGGUAACACCUCACUUCGCCGAGAAGGCUAAUGAGAUGACCUCUUCCAACAAAGACUGGGAAAUCCUUGUUGACUGAGACUUGGAUAAAUAACCAGUCGGUCUCGAAGUAGCGCUCUCUAUCCAAAUUGAAGGUGCUCCUUGAUCGGGUGAUUUUACAGCUCAAGUGUUGCUUAUCUAAACUGAAGAUGUUGCCAAUUGCCUCCACAAUGUUGUUUAUCCAAACUAAAGAUGUGUUGGCGGAGAAAAAGAAAAAAAAUAAAAAUCUCAAGGUGUUUGAGAAGUUUGGGCAGAACAGUUGUGUGUUGAAUUAAAGGGGGUUGAAAUGUUGCAUGCAGCCCUGUAUUUAUAGUGGCUGUAUUUUGCUUAGCACGACCUGAUAGCUUUAGGGGUGGUUUGGUAUGGGAUCCCAAAUCGAAAAUUUUUGGGAAGGAAAUUUGAAGACCAAUCCCAGACCAAAAUUUCGGUAUUUCGGGAUGGUUUGUUAUUCCCAAAUUGCAUACAAAUUGAAAUAGAGAUCAUUCAUCCCAGACCAAAAUUUCGGUAUUUCGGGAUGGACUGUGGAUUAAAAGCACUGAAUGCCUUUUCAAGAAAUUUUGUUUGACAAAUUUAAACACCAACCAAGCAUCAGCCUGAUAUAUCAAGCCCAUAUAUGGCUUCGUUAAAACAUAUGCAGUGGUUUGCAUCUUCCCUAUCAAGACAUGAUUUGUCUUGAUCAUGAAGCCACCAUCUUCCAUUUUAAAUAAUGGGAUUCGUAAUACUGCAUAUCAAUUUGAUUUUGUUAACGGAAUCACUCCAUAACAACAUCCUUAAGAAAUCAUUUAACAGGCACAACGGUUGGCAAUAUUUUGAAUUGGCAAAACCAAUCACAUAUCACAAGAACUGAUUGCCAUUCUCAUGUCUAAUUUUUAGAGUAUUGGACCAACAACAAUAACGUUAAAUGGCAAAAAGCAUUAAAUAAACAAUACCUUAACAAACUGCCCAUGUCGUUCUUAAUGAAAAUCAAGAACAAUACCUUUACAGCAAUAUGCAUGUGCUUCAAAGUCUAAAUUUUAAACGACAGUUUCACUAACGUAUAUUCAAAUCAUUCUUUUCUACUUUCUCAAUAUAAAUUUUUCUUAAAUCCAUUUUUUUUCUUCUAAUUAUUGCAUAAGGAAAAUAUUAUGUCUUUAGAUUGUUGGAGCAAUAUUAGAAAAUAUGAAAAUGACAUAAAAAAUUCCAAUGAUCUUCAAGAAAUUCACAACAUCAAUUAUAUAUGAGAUUAAUAUAAACAACUAUAGAGAAAGUUAGAAAAACUGACAAACUUGGAGAUUGAGACUUACAUAAAUGUAAUGUCCUAAAGACAAAAUUUCGCCCUUACUCUUGUGCUUGUAGUUCGGUUCGGUAGGCGUCCGGCUCCCAGGAUUCAACAAUCUAUAAUCCGAAGUCAAAGCAUUUCAAUCUUCGGACUCUGGCAAACUUUAUAUAUUCCGUAUUCUCAAGACACGACUCGGAAUUUGACAAACGAAGAAUGAGAGAAAUAUAGUGGGGAAACUCUAUUUCUCAAGAGUAAAAGGAAACUCUAAUUUUCUAUCAUUUAAUACCAAUGGUUUCAUGGGUUUAUAUAGAACUCAAUUACUACUUAUUAAAGAGAUAUAACUUUUCAUCUAUAAGUAUACAUCAUUUAGCAAGAGAAUGCAUCAAAAUAACAUAACUUUUCAAAGAAAUACGGUUAAUACUAUUUUUCAUUCAAUUAUUAAAAUGAUGUAUUACAAUAUUUCAUAUUAUAAUAUAUAAUUUCCAACACAUGUUGACAAUGAAAAGACUAAGCCACCCUCGGCGACUCCAUCAUCAAGGAGUCCUUCGACGACAGCGGUUGGGGGUCUUUCCACCCACCACUUCUAAUGAUGUUCAGAGGAUAUAGUGGGAACACCACCAUCCAUGACGAACGUUAAGAUCGGCACUGACGCCGCCGAAUGGAUUGUUACCGUUGAACUCGGCUCAUAGCCUAGCCAAACUUAGAAAAGAAUCGAUACCGCUGAGCUUGAGUUGUAUUCUGAGGUGGCCUGCCAUAAAGGACAUUUGACAUCCUCUCCGAGUCAUCGUCAAGAGUCACCGUCGAGCUUGACAGUAUCAUUCAUAAUCCAAUUGUGCUCUCGGUGGGCAUGCUGCUCUAGCCUCAACAGUAAAUCGAGAAACAACCCAUGUUCUCCAUAAAAGAAAAAACUAAAAAUAUGACUUUAGCCCCUGAAACUUAAUUUUCGUUACAUAAAACCUGACAUAAUUUUUUCACUUGAUUAAAAUCCAUUGACUAGGCUCCACACAAGUAAAUUCAUUAACUAUGUUUGACUUCACCAUUGUACAUUUUUUAAAUGCCUUAUAUACCCUUAAUUACAUUUUUGACAUAUACAAUUAAUUGUAUAUGCAUUAAAAGGUGGAUUAAUGAUUUUUGAAAAGAGAAAUAAGCAUUAAUAUUCAUACUGUGAUUCGAUCACAAUAUAUAUGAUGUAAUUAAACAAAUAUGUGGGGAAUCAAUAAAUGUGCCUAAUAGUUGUGCUAAUAUAUGGAGAAUAAUUUACCUACUGUUGUGGUCUAUUUUAUCUUACAAGGUUAAAGGGGGCCAGCGGUAGAGAGAGCGAGAUUAAAAAAGAUGUGUUUGUAGAAUUGUAGGGGAAUGUGUGUUGUUAUCCCUCCUACAUUGUGCCUUUAUUUAUAGUAGUCAAAUGUGAGAAGAUAUUCCUCUUUCCCCAAGUAAUACAAGUUGUAAUAGGAAAUGAUAACUAGAAUAAAAUCUAAUCUAAGAUUUACACAAUCACACUUAAACUAGGAAUGUUUAUAACAAAUCCCCCUUGAGUGUGUAAAUACUCAAGGUAGAUUCAACAUCAUGCAGAAGUUGAGGAAGUCGACUUGUCGACACUGAUUCUAUGGAACAACGCUUAUUCUCAAUAAGGUAGGCACUUGAAUAAGUAAAUGAGUCUCACUAAAAAACCCUAAGGCUAUGGCAAAAACCCGAGUAGGGACAAAAUCCACAGUCUAAGGAAAAAUGCGUGAGAAAUGCAAAGUCAAAAGAAACGUCUACAAGACAUCAUGGAGGAUAUGACCAGCCCAAGGUGGGUGCCUCGUUAAAACCUAGUUAGGUAGCAAAAACCCAGUGGGAAAAAUGCUCCUAAUCAUAGGGAAAAAGAGUACAUUAAGAUCAAGCAAGUAUCUUCAGGAUACUCCCCCUGUGUUUGACACAGUUCCAAAGAGAAAUAGCAAAGUUACAACUCAGAAAGUUUACGCAUACCAAUUCCAUGAACAAGCUUCUGAAACGUCGUCUUCGGCAGUGAUUUGGUGAAGAGGUCGGCCAGAUUGUCUUGUGAAUGGAUUUGCGUGACUUCAAUCUUCUGAUGCUCUUAUUGUUGAUGUGAAAGAAGAACUUCGGCGCAAUGUACUUGGUGUUGUCUCCUUUGAUGUAACCAUUCUUGAGUUGUUUGAUGCAUGCUAUGUUGUCUUCAAAUAUCAUCGUCGGGACAUCAACGUGGGGAUAAAGAUCACAGAAGCUUCGAAUAUGGCCCAUAACUGCUCUCAACCAAAAACAUUCCCGAGUUGCUUCAUGUAAGGUGAGAAUUUUAGCAUGGUUAGACGAAGUGGCAACUAAGGUCUGUUUAGUUGACCUCUAAGAGAUUGCGGUGCCUCCAACGGUAAAGACAUAACCCGUUUGAGAACCCGCCUUGUGUAGAUCAUAUAAGUAUCAUGCGUCGGCAUAACCAACAAGGUGAGAAUCGACUCAAGAAGUAGAAGGUGUGACAUUACUCAAGGAUCUGUAGGGAUAGAACAAGCCUAAAUCUGUAGUACCCUUAAGGUAACGGAAGAUGUCUUUCACGCCAGUUCAGUGUCUGCGUGUAGGUGUAUUACUGUAUCUAUCCAAAAAAUUAACAGUGAAGGAGAUGUCGGGUCUAUUGCAUUGAGCUAAGUACAAUAAAGUGCCUAUCGCACUUAGAUAAGGAACUUCAGGCUCCAAAAUCUCUUCAUCAUCUUCCUUUGAACAAAAGGGAUCUCAUUUUGCAUCUAGCGAUCGAACAAUGCUCUAUCUCAAGAUCAAGACAGUAUUGAGUCUUACCUAGAUCUUUCAUCUUAAAUUUCGACUUCAGGUGCGCGGCAAUUCUCGCGAGCUCUUCAUAAGUUCCAAUAAGGUUCAUGUCAUCGACAUAUACUGCAACAAUCGCAAAUCCGGAAUGUGACUUCUUAAUGAACACACAAGGGCAUAGUUCAUUGUUCACAUAUCCCUGACUAGUCAAAUACUCACUCAGACGGUUAUACCACAUUCUUCCAGAUUGUUUCAAACCGUAGAGUGAACACCUCAACCGAAUUGAGAGCGUGUUCCGAGGUUUGGAAAUAUUUGAACCAGUUAAUGUAAGUCUUCCGGGAACUUUCAUAUAGAUUUCUGUAUCAAGAUCCUCAUAGAGAUACGCAGUUACUACGUCCAUCAGCUGCAUGCUCGGUUUUUUCAGAAACUACCAAACUUAUAAGGUAGCGAAAAGUAAUCACAUCCAUAACGGGUGAAUAAGUUUUGUCAUAGUCAAUCCCGGGGCAUUGUGAGAAGCCUUGUGCAACAAGCUGAGCUUUGUAACGCACAAUUUCAUUUUUCUCAUUAUGCUUCCGAACGAAAACCCACUUGUAGCCAACGGGCUUCACAUGUGGAGGAGUAGGAGCUAUAGGUCCAAACACCUUAUGUUUCGCAAGUGAAUCAAGUUCAACUUAGAUUGCUUAUUUCUAGUUUGACCAAUUAGUUCUACGUCGGCAUUAAUUAACGGAACGUGGUUUAAUGUCAUCGCUUAACAUGAUCUUAGUAGCUACUGCAUAUGUUAAUGCAUCGUCGACAUUCAUCUCAUUUCUACGCCACACAUUAUCUAAGCUAGCAUAAUAGACCGAUAUCUCACGAAUUUUCGGGAGGAGGAUUCGUCUCUUCAAGGACGCUUCCAUAAUCUAGAAUUUCCUCAUAGAAUGAGUAAGCGAUAGUUGAAUUCACGGUAGGUUCUUCAGAUCCUUGUGCCGUAAGUUUCCUCUUCCGGGGGUAUGAAUCCUUUGAACAAAGGGGUCUGCCACGUUUUUGUGUAGGGGCAGAUGAUUAGCUAGCCGCUAAUGUACGUGGAUCACCAAUAUUGCUGUCCCGAGCCUCCAAGAGGGAAGUCCUUCGUACAUUUGGUACAUCCAUCUUUGCAGGCGUAUUCGCAGUUGGAAUAUGUGAUCUUGUCACUUGCGCUAGAUCGGUGAAAGCAUAUGGCAUGCCUAAGUUAUGCUCUGAAGAUCUAAUAUGCACUGCACUUCAAUUUCAGACUAAGCGGUGUGGGGAUCUAAAUGAGACAAAGUGGGAGUCGUCCACGAUAAUUCGCGUCGUUCUUAUCUCCCCGUAACGACGGGGAGACUGUCUCGUAGAAGUAACAAUCCGCGAAACGAGCGGUAAACAGAUCGCCUGUCAAAGGUUCUAUGUAACGAAUAAUCGAAGGAGAAUCAUAUCCGACAUAGAUUCCCAUCCUUCGCUGAGGCCCUAUUUUUGUACAUAAGGGCAGCGAGAUCGGCACAUAUACUGUAAUUGGUUACGUAUAGAGUCCUGUAAAUUGGCUUAAUUUCUCAAAUGUAUCAAUAUGCAAUUGGCUUUAUCACCUCUCUCUCUCUCUCUCUCUCUCUCUCUCUCUCAAUUAUGCUGUAAUUGGUUAUUUAAUUAAUCAUUUUUAUCUGAAGCUCAUUGUUGGAUUAUAAAUUUUAAUGCUGUUUUGGGUGCACAUGUUGCAUUAAAUUUCGGUUAUAGAUUGAAAACUGACCAGUUUCACCACCAGAUGAAGAAACCAAUUGUUAGAACCAGAAGCACUUGAAGAAAUAAUCGAUGAUUUGGAUAUACAUUCAAAUUUAAUUACUUUCGUUUUCUUAAUUUUUUCCGUUUGCAAAAAUUGGAUCAAACAACGUAUCCAAAUCUCACUGCAAUUCUAUGGGUGGUUAUAUAGGUUAGUUGAAAUCUAAAGAAGAAACUUGAUUAGGGUGUAUUUUGUAAUCAAUUUUUUGAUAAUUUUUUUUUAAAUCAAGUAAAAAACUGAAUUGAAACUAAAACCAAACUGGAAAAAACUGAACUAAAAUUAAUUGAACUGAAUGAAAAAUCGAAAAAAUCAAACCAAACCAAACCAAAUAGUAAUUUCUAUUUGAUUUUCGAUUUUGACAAACAAUUAAACUGAAUAGAACCGAACCCACCCCUGCUAAGAAUUAACAAAAAAAUAAUAGCCACCAGACUUAUUUUUAAAAAGUAGAAAGUAGACUAUUCAUACUAGGGUUUUUAUCACAAAUGGUCCUUGAAAUUGAAAAUCAAUCAAUGUAGUCCCUGAAGGUGACGCAAAUCAAUGUCGUCUUUCCAUCACAAUUCUAUUAAAAAAUUUGUUAAGUGGUGAUGUGAUAUAUAAAUGAGUUUGAAAAGUCUUUUUUUCUCACAAAUAAUCAAAAUGGUCCAGGAAAUUGACUCGCGACAUCAAAAUGAUCUCUGAAAUUGAAAAUUGAUCAAUGUAGUCCUGCAAGUAAGUGUUUCAAAUCAAUGUAGUCAUUCCGUCAUAAUUUUCUCAAAAAUUCUGUUAUGUGAUGAUGUGACACAUUAAUAGUUGAAUAUCAGAGUGCGCAUACCACAAUGAACGAACAAACGGAUUACAAAACUAGAAAUAUUAUUUAUCAAACGAGAAUGCCGAAACGGCUACAGAAUCCCAAGAGACUACAUUGUGAAUAACUUAUUAUACUAUAGAGUUACAAAGUACCAUAUAUAUAGAAAACUAACAUAACCCUAAUAGGCAAGGAAACGAAACCCUAAUACUAACGGGCUAAUACCAAAAUACCAAACAUUAAAAUAAAUCUAAAUAAUAAUAUUUUCCAACAUUAAUGGCUCACACAAGUCUAAUUAAAUUAAAAAAAAAAUUACAAAUAAGCUUAAUAAUUUAAUGUUAAUAAAAAAAUUGUCAACCCAAAAACCCAAUCUUGCAAUCACCUCCGAUCUCAGUCCACAUUUCUAUACCUCAAUCGCUCUCUAUUCUCUGAAAAAACAAUCUCAAUACACCAAUCUUUACACACUUUGACACCCUUCACCGAAUUGAACCUGGAUUGAUAUCACCUUUGGUGACGGCUUGGCCCAUUGACAACGAUUUAUGGAGAGCUUGUUCGGGCCUUCCUUAGUGGUCUGGUGCUGCAAAAAACAACGAGAUUUGCCUUGAUAGUGAGGUUAUAACCGAGGUGCAUCCAUUGCUAGUUGAAAACUAUUUCCACAACCCUCUCAAGCCUUGGCCUUGGUUAAGCCUUGUGCCUUUGAGAGUUUAUAGAAGGGAUCUCUCUUCGGAGUAAGCCUUACUAUAAGAAAAAAUAUUUUCGUUGUGCAAAAAGGUAUUUAGUGGAAAAAAUAUCUUCGGAGUAGGCCUGAAAUUAUAAAACCACAUCAACACAUGACAAGUUUUUUUUUACAGAAUUGUAGCGGAAAGAUCAUAUUGAUUUGCGACACCUAUUUUCAAGAACUACAUUGAUUGAUUUUCAAUUUCAGGGACCAUAUUGAUGGUGUGGGUCAAUUUCAGGGACCAUUUGUGAUAAAACCCCGUAAAUCUUGUGAGACCUAUUUAUGUGCCACAUAAGCACUUAAUAUAAUUUUUAACAGAAUUGUGACAGAAUGACCAUAUUGAUUUGCGACACCUAUUUUCAGUGACUACAUUGAUUAAUUUUUAAUUUCAGAGACCAUCUUAAUGGUAAGAGUUAAUUUCAAGGAUCAUUUGUGAUAAAAACUCUUCUUACUAAUAGCUCACAAAUUAGAUUUAUAUUAAAUUUACCCUUAAAUGUAAUAUUGCAUUAGUCUUCCAGAAAAUGAUGGGUGAUGCGUAAUUCCAAGUUUCCAACUGCCACUAGAAAGUGCGGGCGAUCUUUGGUACCAGUCAACAGAAGAAAAUCUAUUAUAUUUAAACGUUGAUGAACAUGCUCAUUUCUAUUAGUAAUAAAUUAUUUAAUUUGCAAGUUUUUUAUCUAUAAAUUUAGUAUCCCUUAGAUUAAUCUAUUUUAUUUAUUCAACACCCUGACAAGGUGUUAGGUAUGCAACUUGGUUCUUUUCUAUGAAAUGAUCACAGAGCGGCCUAAGAAGUCAAGGCUCAAGCUCACCGUCGUUAUAUUUUUUAGGUUUAGGCCGUAUUACCAGGUUGCUCCGUUGGCCAGGUGAUUGUGAAAUAACAUAAAACAAACAACAAGAAAUUGCUAAGUCUUACGAAAAGAAAGAUAACAAAAAACUUCAAAAGCAACCCAAAAUAAUGCAUCAAAUGUGGCAGAGGUAUUUUUGUCAUUUAACAGUUUUUUUAAAAAUUAAUUUUUUUGUAUAUAUAUUUUUUUGAUAAUUAGUACCUCAUAAUAGGCUAAUAAUAAUGUGAUUCAAUCAGUUGUUCAUUAAAUAUUAUUUUCUCUAUUUUUAAACACAUUCAAAACAUCUUAAGGUGGGUAAUGCCGGUUAUAAAAAGGGUCUUUCACAUGCGGAAAAUAAUGUGAUUAAAUUAGUUGUCAAAUGAUUUUUUUUUUUUGAACAAAAGAUAUUAUCUACACCAAGGGGAGGGAGUAGGCUUAGCCUCACAAUAGGGUAGCAAUAAUAUGAUUCAAUCAGUUGUUUAUUAAAUAUUAUUUUCUCUAUUGUUAAUAUAAAUUCAAUAGAGACUGAUUUUAUUAUGUGGAUUCAACUACUUUAAUUGGUUUAUGAUGGUUUUCUUCUAGCAUAAUCUAAGAGUAUUCAUCUACCUAAAAUAUUUGACUUUUCUUUUGUCAAUUUACACAUAUAAAUAUAUUUAAAACGUGUAAGCCGCGCGUAGCACGCCGUAAUAUUACGUAGCUGUCACUUUUUCCAUUGAAAAAUAUACUUUUGAGGAGAAGUUUUUGCUCAAACUUGGAAUUUUAUGAAAAGAGCUUCCUUUUUCUAGAUCCAUCCCCACAAGACAAAGAAGCUAUGGAAAAAUUUACAAGUCAGUCAACAAAGAUUUUUUGAAAUACACCAUUGUAAUUUUGAUUCACCAACGCAACAAAGUGAAGUUAUUAUCUUUGAUUCACCAAGCCAUGAAAGGGAAUGCUUUGAAUUCGCCACCCAAUUGUUAUCAUUUUAAUUAACGUGGUAUUAUUAAUUGGUAUUAUUGAUUAUUUUUUGUGGGAUUAUUGAUUGAUACUCUUCUUUUUUAGUCAAACGAUAGAUUUUGUUAGAUUAGCUAACGACGGAGUUUAAGCCCACAUCGUCAUGUAAGAGCUCAAUACAUUUCCACCAUUAUAGUAAAUGCCACUUGCAAUUUAUACGUUGAUUAUUUGUUUUAUAUGCACCCAAUAAUUCUUUCAAAUAAUAUUUUUGUAACUCAAAAUCCAAUUUUGCCCUUCGGCAAUUUUCUUUCUUGAUCCAACACCUAAACAGCCAUCAAAUCAACCCAACUAACCGCCGACGACCACUUAUUCUGACGAACACUAUGUUCUUUCUUUCCUUCAUAGGGCAAUGGUUUGAUUUGAGGACGGAAAUAUUAUGUCUAUCCUUAUAAUCAUGGAAAUUAAUUAUAUUCAUAACUGCAAAUUAACCAUCGGAUAUUAUCAAUAACCAUACUCAUCAGGUAAUGGAUUUCUCAUCAGUUAACGGCUAUAUCCAUCUUCAUCGCUACACAAAAAAAAAAAAAAAAUUGAUCAGUUGACACAUUAUAAUUUAGUAAAUAUUAAUUCAGUAAUAAAAUAUUUGAUGUAUAAUAAAAUGAUUUUUGAUCAUGUGGAAUAUAAAAAUUAAAGCUAAACAUUGUUGAUGUUGGCUGAUCUUUGAUAUCUCUUAUAAGUACCAUUGAAUUGUUAUUGAUCUUGAUUCAAAACUUUUGAACUUUUCAACAAAAUGCAACUCACAUAAUGCAACUUUUGUAUUUUCAAGGUAAUGAAUUCGGUAAAUAAUGAAUAUACAUAUAUAUAAAUUAUAUUAUAUAUUAUUCGGGUUGCAUUCGAGGAUUGAUACAGAUUGGGAACCCCUAAAACCAUAACCGAAUAUAUUCACGGUUUUUCCCCGUAUCCAAAAUAUACACGAAUUUUAUACCCAAAUCCAACCCAUUUGAGCGGUUAUCCACGAUGACCGGGUUUAUAGAUUAGAAUUAUCAUCCUUAUUCCUUUCCACGAUUACCGGACCAUUCUGCCGUGGUGAAUCAUAUCCUUCCUUUCUCUGUAUACAUUCUUUUUCCUCUCCUCCUAUCUCUCCAUGUAUUGCUAACUCCCUAACAACCAGGUUGCUAGGUGAUGGUGAAAUAACAUAAAACAACGAAGAAGAAAUUGUUAAGUCCAACGAAAUAUACGACUGUUAUCUUGAUUACAACCCAUGAAAGUGAAAUCCUUGAAUUGGCAACAGGAUUGUUAUCUUUUUAAUAACGUGAUAUUGUUCAAAAGUGGAGCUGUUCGCUCCCUAAAUCCGCCAUGGUGCCUUGCGGGCAAGCCGGGGAUUUACUGCACAUACGAGAUUAGUGGGUGCAGGCGUGCCACUACUAGAGCCGCUAGUAGACGGGAUUUGAAUGAUUGAGGUUGCGCCUUUUGACCUCAAAUCAAGAGAUUGUGCCAUUUGAGUGGGAGUUGCUCAAAUUAAGGUUCUUUGUUUGCCUUAAAAAUAAGGACUUUACUUAUACGGAGAGAUAGAACAAUAUGUAAAUGACAAGGUUGCUUGGAAAUAUAAACGACAGAGGAAAGUGACUAAUAUUGCAGAUUGCUUGUGAUUUAUAUGACUGGAAAUGAGUACAUAAAAGCUACACAUCAGAUCGAUACUACAAGUGAGUAGCAGAGCUAAUAAACAAGAAAAGCAAAGGAUGCUUGGCUCAAAAUAAAUGUCUACAAGGAAGCUGAUGAGCUAAUUUGAGUAGAGUUUUGAUUGGUUGUUUUGAGUGUCCUUGAUUCUGACUUCUCUUUCUCCUUUUAUAGCCACCUUGGCUUGGCCUCCUGUAGCAAUAAUCUUGCCCGAAUGCAGUUUGAAGGAUAGUGACUCAUCAGCUAUUUACUUGUACUGCCAUCAUAAAGUACUUUUGGGCUGAUUAGCUGGCUGGUCUAUACCACUUGGCCCUUGGGUAGGUGAGCAAGUGGUGCAAAUGAUCUGCACCUAGUCAGGAAAGGCCCUUUCUGCUUUCUAGGUCUGGGCUGAGCUUUGGGCUUUUCCUUCUCUUUUUGGGCCAACUCCCUUCUAAGCCCAAAGUUUAAGUUUCAACCCAAACAGUGCCCCCUUCAAUCAAUAUUCAGACUGGAAUUCCAGGCGCCCAUAUUGAUUGAAUAUCCGCAUGCUUGUAUACUCGCUCUUGGAACUUGUGUUUUUCUGGACAGGAGGCCUACGACCAUGCGUCUCUUGCUCUUCUCACGACCUUUGGGUUACCCUCUGAGGUUUCUAUAAAUUCAUGUUUGAUUUUGCCUUUUGCUCAGUCAACCAAAUUCCUUCAACCUUCGCUUCAAUUAACCCUGAGUAUUUUUGCCUUCUUAGUUUUCUCCCCAAGACUGAGAAAUGAGCUCUUCAAGAUUCAAAUGGGGUUUCCUAAAACUCCCUUUUCGUGAGAAAAAGAGUUUUCAUCAAAUAACCACUAUCCCCAACACCCUUGGUCAGGCAUCCCGCUAUCUCCAACACCCUUGGUCAGGCGGUGCUCCCAUGAAGACUUGCCUUCCCGCUCGUUGCCAUGAUAAGUCAGGCUUCACCAUCAUAUAUGGUGAUGACUCUACCUGAGGAUCCUCUACCAGGUGUGUCUUGGCCGCACAACCUGAUCACCUAACCGGAUUCUACCCAUGAAGAUACCAGAAAACCAGCUGAGACAUCAUUGCACCUGGAAGGAGUCGUACGUAGUACAUCGGGAUUGAAUUGAAUUUGUUGUAAACUUCACCAAUUUGUCGAAAAUGAAAUAAACAAUAUCUUAACAAUCUUGUGUCUUUCUGUCUUCUUGAAUGACUGAUGAAUAUACACCAUACUUUAGCAUCCCGAAACCUGCUUUACUUUGCAUCCUCCUCGAUGUAACAAUCCCUAACAUCCCAUAAUGUAGGACAAUACCUUUCCAAGAAUUUAACAUUAAUGGUUUGUUUCUGCCAAUUCCCUUCGAGGUCCGCCAAGUAAUAUCCCCCUUUGUCUAAUAUUUGACUAACUAUGAAAGGACCUUCCCACGUCGGGCUCCACUUUCCAAAGCCCCUAAGCUAAGCUCCUAGAGGAAGAACUGUCUUCCACACCAAAUCUUCUUCCUUGUAAGAUUUUGCUUUCACCCUUUUGUUAUACGCUCGGGCAACAUCCCUCUUUCUUUCCUGAAUCUGGUUCAGAGCUUCAAUUCGGGCUACAUCUAAGUCUUCAAUCCCUUGACACAUGGCUUCAAUGUAUUCUUUGCUGUGUAACCCAAACUGAUUUUGAAUUCUGACAUAACUCACAUUGAUCUCCAUGGGAAGCACUGCAUCUUGCCCGAAGGUUAGAGCAUAAGGAAUUGUCCCUGUACCUGCCCUCUUGGAAGUUCUGUAUGCCCACAGAGUAUUCCCCAGCUUUUCAUGCCAUUUUCCAGACUAUCUAUCACCAUUCUUUUGAUAAUGUUUACCAAAAUCUUGUUGCUGGAUUCUGCCUGGCCAUUUGACUGUAGGUAGUAAGGACUUGACCGGAUCAUCUUUAUUUUGUAUUUGCUUGCAAAUUCUUCAACUUCUUUUGAAAUAAAAGAUGGCCCUCGAUCCGUCACUAUGGUUUUGGGCACCCCAAAUCUAUGCAGAAUCUUGAUCUUAAUAAAUUUUUUUACUGCAGCUGAGGUUAUGGUUUUCACCGCCGAAGCCUCCACCUAUUUGGUAAAGUAAUAUGUUGCUACAAUGAUAAAAGUGUGCCCCUUGCUAGAAGCCGGGUAAAUUUGCCCGAUGAAGUCAAUUGCCUAUCCUCUGAAGGGCCAGGGCUUGACUACUGAAUUUAAAGGCAUGGAGGGUACAUGUUGGAGAGGACCGUGCCUUUGACAUUCCUCACACCCUCGGGCAUAGGACUUGCAAUCUUUUUCCAUGUCGAAAAAUAACCAUAUCGUCUAAGUAACCACCUCAUCUUUAUCCCUGCCUGAUGUGCUCCACAUACUCCUUCAUGUACUUCGGCCAUCACUCUCAUGGACUCCUCUUAGCCUAAGCAUUUCAAUAAUAACCUGUAUGGAGUCUUCCUUAGUAGGUCUUUCGCCCAUAAGACAUACUUAGUUGCUUGCUGUCUAUUCUUCUUGCUGGUGGGUGAAGAGGAAUCUUUUAAAUGAUGGAUGAUGGGUGAUCUCCAAUCUUCUAUCUCAGCUUCCUGAACCAUUACAUCCAGGCUGAAUCCCCUUUCUAGGAUAGAAGGAAGAUUUCUCCUUUGAAUCUCGACAUCCAACCCAUAUCUUCUUUCCUGUAUUGGCAUGCCUGAGGCCAAUUGCGCCAUCUCAUUAGCUGCUAGGUUGGCUCCCCUAGGAACAUGACUCACCGAUAUAUUAGAAUCCCAAUAACUCAACAAUUGUGUGGCCGCCAAAUAGUAUCCGGCCAUGGUGAUAUGUUUGCACUUGAACUCCCCAUUUAGCUGGUUUAUUACCAAUUAUGAAUCACCGAACACCUCAACUUCCAUUGCCCUCAGAUCCAUCAAGAUUUCCAAACCAAUUAUUAAGGCCUCAUACUCUACCCGAUUGUUGGUAUUCCCUUGAUAAUCCAAGAGAAAUGAGUAAUAAUGAUAAAUCCAUUGAGGGUUGAUAAUCAUAAUCCCAGCUCCUGAAGCCCUCUGAGUAUAAGAACCAUCGAAAUACAGCUUCCAAUGAGUAAUCCAUAAACCAGCCACUUUUCUUAUCUCCUGCUGGAUCCACUCCUCUUUGCCCGAGAUCCCUUUGCCUGGCGGGAUCUAAACAUUAGUAACUUCCAGGGUUCCCGGUAUAUUGAUUAUCUCAUCUCGAGAUUCUUGAUGCUCCGCCAAGAAGUCAGCAAUUGCUUGGCCUUUUACUGCCCUUUGGGGGACAUACCUGAAGCUGAAUUCUGAUAAUGCUAGAAUCCACUUCCCAAUCCUUCCUGUUAACAUUGGCUUUGACAACAUGUACUUUAUCACAUCUGUCUUGGCGAUGAUGUGCACGUGACAAGGUAACAUGUAAUGCCUCAGCUUAUUGGCAGUAAAAUACAGAGCUAAGCACAAUCUCUGUACUGGGGAAUACCUUGUUUCUACCUCGGUCAGAAUUCUACUGAGGUAGUACACUACCUGCUCUUUCCCGCCUUCAUUAUUCUGAGCCAGCAAACUCCCAAUUGAAGCGGAGAUAUAUAGCUUUAAGGGUUUUCCCCUAUGAGGUGGUACCAAUACUGGCGGGGAAGUCAAAUAAGCUUUGAUACCAUCGAAAGCCUCUUGGUGCAGUGGUCCCCACUCGAAAUUCUCCUUAUCCUUCAGUCUUAACAAAGAAGUCAGCGGCUGGAUCUUGCCCGCUAAAUUGGCAAUGAAUCUUCUUAAGAAAUUAAUUUUGCCCAGCAACCUCUGAAGUUGUACUUUGUUGGUGGGUGAAGGCGACUCCAUUAUUGCCUGAGCUUUAUUUUUGUCGACUUCUACCCCUCUUUGAUGAACUAGGAAUCCCAAGAAAUUGCCCGCUUUCAUUCCAAACGCACACUUCUUUGGAUUCAUCUUCAAUUUAUGGAUCUUCAUUCUUGUUAAUGCCUGUCUGAGGUCUAUCAGAUGCUGUUCUUCCGUCUUGGAUUUCACCACGAUGUCAUCAAUAUACACCUCCAUAUUAUGGCCAAUCAGAUCAUAAAAGGUAGCAUUCAUCGCCUUUUGGUAGGUUGCACCAGCAUUCUUGAGCCCGAAGGGCAUGACCAGAUAUUCAUAUGCCCCUAUAUGCCCAGGGCACCUAAAAGCUGUUUUAUGUAUAUCUUCCGGGGCCAUCUUUAUCUGAUUAUACCCGACAUUUCCAUCCAUAAAAGAUAAGACUUUGUGUUUUGCUACUGCAUCUAUGGAUAGAUCUGCCAUGGGCAUAGGAUACUCAUCUUUAGGUGUAGCACCAUUAAUAUUUCUGUAGUCAACACAACAUCGUACUGCUUUUGUUACGGCUUUUAAAGCGGGUACACUGUUGGCUAACCACUCCACAUAUUUGGCUGGCCUGAUAAAUCCGGCUUUUACGAGCCUCUCAAUCUAUUCUUUGACCUUCUCUUCUAUCUCUUUUGACAUCCUUUGUGGUGCUUGCUUAACCGGCUUAUAUCCUUCCUUGAUGGGCAUUCUGUGUUCCACCAAGGUUGCAUCUAAACCCGGCAUCUUAGUGUAAUGCCAACCAAAACAAUCUCUGAAUUCUUGCAAGGGACAGAUAAUUUGUGCCUGAUCCCCACUCUCCAAUAAACCACUGAUUUGUAUUGGUCUUGGGUCCUCAUUUGUUCCUAGCUCAAUAACUUCCAAAGGAUCUUGGACUUCCGGUGGUAGCUUAUCAGGUUCUGCACACAAAAAUUCGACUAGCUCCAGGCUCUCGGGCAAGUCAUCUGGCUCAUCUAGGUCAUAUAUACACUCGGCCAUUUGAAUGGCCCUUUCCAAUUCUUCUUGACAAGAUUCCUCGUUGCUUUCAUCCUGGCUGGUUGAAGCUCCCACCUGCCAUUCCUGCUCUUCUCUGUCUAAGAGCUCAUUUUCUUGUCUUCUUCCUUUCCCAUACACCAACAGUCGUUUAAUCAGGGAUUUGACUGCCAUUACCUGAUCUUUCCUUUUUUGUUCUAUCAUUGAUGGUGUAGGGGUGUUGGGAUGAUAUAAGGUCUGUCCCACUCAUUUCUAGUAAGGAGCAUCCCUUGUUCUAGGAGCUUUUGGGCCGUCACCUUGGUAAGGCGGCCGUUCUCAUCUGCUCCCAAACACUUUAAGAUUCCUACGUUGGGAUUGUAGAAACUUGCUUCCGCUAUAUUGGUUGUGGGAAGAAAUGGCCGUGAUUCGGCCUCUACCAUCUCCCAAAAGCCUGGCCCUUCCGCGCUUGCCUCAUGAUACACAGCCACUUGUUGAUGUAGGGUGGAUGGUACAACAAGACUUUGGUGGAUCCAAUCUCUUCCAAGUAAGGCUCCAUAGGUGGAGGUGCAGUCCACCACAAAGAACGCCAGCAUGAUCUGUUAGACCCCAGAUCUACUUCCAAAGGCAAUAUCCCAAGAGUUUUGGCGAUAGCGCCCGAGAAACUAGAAACUCUGAGGUCUGUAGGAAUAAGAUCCUAUGUGCCUCUUCCCAACUUUUUCAUCUGCUUGGCUGGUAAUACAUUAACAGCUGCCCCUUCAUCAAUCAAAAUUCUUCUGAAGGGCAUUCCUUCCAAAUAAGCUGUUACAUAUAUGGGCUUUAGAUGAUUGGCAAGUGAAAUGUUCGGGCGACUGAACACCAUUUUGUCUGUGUAGAUCCUUAAAGGACCCUCUUUGGAUGCUUCAGAUGAUGCAGCUUUUCCCGACUCUCCUUCUUCUGCUAUUUCCAUAUUAACAUGAGCCAUCAGUGGCUUAGUUGAUUGGUUUUAAGCCCCCUCUUCUCCCUAUCAUCUUUCUCCCCAAGAUGAGUUAAAGACAUAGGGAUAGGUGGUCUUAGAACCGGAUCAUCUUCUUUUCUGGAGCCUACAGAAGCGUUCUCUAGUCUUUGUAGCAUGUGCAACAAAGCAGUUUGGAAAUCUUCUGAUCCUUUUGACAUAUAUUGCUUUGAUAAAAGAAUCCCACCGGGCGUGCCAAAAUAUGUUCGCUCCCUAAAUCCGCCAUGGUGUAUAAUAAAAUGAUUUUUGAUCAUGUGGAAUAUAAAAAUUAAAGCUAAACAUUGUUGAUGUUGGCUGAUCUUUGAUAUCUCUUAUAAGGACCAUUGAAUUGUUAUUGAUCUUGAUUCAAAACUUUUGAACUUUUCAACAAAAUGCAACUCACAUAAUGCAACUUUUGUAUUUUCAAGGUAAUGAAUUCGGUAAAUAAUGAAUAUACAUAUAUAUAAAUUAUAUUAUAUAUUAUUCGGGUUGCAUUCGAGGAUUGAUACAGAUUGGGAACCCCUAAAACCAUAACCAAAUAUAUUCACGGUUUUUCCCCGUAUCCAAAAUAUACACGAAUUUUUAUACCCAAAUCCAACCCAUUUGAGCGGUUAUCCACGAUGACCGGGUUUAUAGAUUAGAAUUAUCAUCCUUAUUCCUUUCCACGAUUACCAGACCAUUCUGCCGUGGUGAAUCCUAUCUUUCCUUUCUCUGUAUACAUUCUUUUUCCUCUCCUCCUAUCUCUCCAUGUAUUGCUGACUCCCUAACAACCAGGUUGCUAGGUGAUGGUGAAAUAACAUAAAACAACGAAGAAGAAAUUGUUAAGUCCAACGAAAUAUACGACUGUUAUCUUGAUUACAACCCAUGAAAGUGAAAGCCUUGAAUUGGCAACAAGAUUGUUAUCUUUUUAAUAACGUGAUAUUGUUCAAAAGUGGAGCUGUUCGCUCCCUAAAUCCGCCAUGGUGCCUUGCGGGCAAGCCGGGGAUUUACUGCACAUACGAGAUUGGUGGGUGCGGGCGUGCCACUACUAGAUGCCGCUAGUAGACGGGAUUUGAAUGAUUAAGGUUGCGCCUUUUGACCUCAAAUCAAGAGAUUGUUCCAUUUGAGUGGGAGUUGCUCAAAUUAAGGUUCUUUGUUUGCCUUAAAACUAAGGACUUUACUUAUAUGGAGAGAUAGAACAACAUGUAAAUGACAAGGUUGCUUGGAAAUAUAAACGACAGAGGAAAGUGACUAAUAUUGCAGAUUGCUUGUGAUUUAUAUGACUGGAAAUGAGUACAUAAAAGCUACACAUCAGAUCGAUACUACAAGUGAGUAGCAGAGCUAAUAAACAAGAAAAGCAAAGGAUGCUUGGCUAAAAAUAAAUGUCUACAAGGAAGCCGAUGAGCUAAUUUGAGUAGAGUUUUGAUUGGUUGUUUUGAAUGUCCUUGAUUCUGACUUCUCUUUCUCCUUUUAUAGCCACCUUGGCUUGGCCUCCUGUAGCAAUAAUCUUGCCCGAAUGCAGUUUGAAUGAUAGUGACUCAUCAACUAUUUACUUGUACUGCCAUUAUAAAGUACUUUUGGGCUGAUUAGCUGGCUGGUCUAUACCACUUGGCCCUUGGGUAGGUGAGCAAGUGGUGCAAAUGAUCUGCACCUAGUCGGGAAAGGCCUUUUCUGCUUUCUAGGUCUGGGCUGAGCUUCGGGCUUUUCCUUCUCUUUUUGGGCCAACUCCCUUCUAAGCCCAAAGUUUAAGUUUCAACCCAAACAGGAGCCAUAUAAAUUUUUUAAUGGGUGAGCUAACUAAAGUUUACUUGUCAAAUAAUGAAAUUCCUUUUAAAACUAUCUUUUUUCAAAGACUCAUGCUAGAUUUCUACUCUUUAAUCUGGGAAAAAACAACCCAACAAAGAAAAAUCUGGGAAAAAUAAUAUAGGUCUGUAACAAACGUUUCCAUUUUUAAUUGCUAUAUUGAUUUAUAAAUAAGAAAAGGGUAAUUAAGUCUCCUUAUUAUCUUCUAUUUUUCCAUAAAUCUCACAAGAAUUGGACUUGACAAGUUAAUAUCUGAGUUAUCUAUGGUUCUGGUCCCUUCUUAGAACCCUAUUGGUUGUAUGCUUUAGAUUCUGUGCGGCUUCUGUCCAUGAAUCCAAAGAAGAUGUCUCGGGUCUGUGUGGAUUGGAGUGACUAUGUCUUUGACUCUGUUGCUUAUGGUGACAAGUUCCAUUUUGAGGAAUUAUGAAGCUAUGUUCCUCUCCUGUGUUUUAGCUUGAAAUUCGUUUGGAUAUGGCUUAUAGGGGAGUUGGUUUUAGGAAAGCACUAAUUUUGGGGGAGUAGAUCUCCUUUUAGGACUAUGUGUUGUAUAAUUUGUAUUUUACUUGAGAUUAUUUUUUAUGACAUGUGCUUAUUUGUCGUUCGUCUCAUUGUUACUACCCAUUAUUUGGGAGUGCUUAUAUGAUCUGUUACUGAUGUUUAUCCAUUGUGCUUUAGCUGCUCAUGCAUUGUCUUAAUUGCAUAUCAUAUAUAUAUGCUUGAUGUUCUUGCGUGCGUUAUUUCGCCUUGAGACUUGGUCUUACCAUGACAAAAUGGGGGAGAAAGUUUGUGUUACAUUAAUUGCCAAUACUAUACCCAUGAUAAAUUUUACUUGUUCUUGUCAAGAGUUGCUUUUGUGCAGGAUUCGUU